rnacentral:lncRNA from 1 species
CCACCAUCGGCGGCCAAUUCGUCGCCCACUUUCUGCCUCUUCUUGGCACUACCCUCUUCCCCAGCCGAUGACGACGGCCCCUUCGCCUCUAUCAGCUUGAGCUUCUUUUUGAGCUCCUUGUAUGACAAAAACUUGUCCCUCCAUUCAGGUAAAGUCUCAUCAAUUUGAUUGCUCAAACUCUUUCCAAACUUCAUACCGACUGAAAUCCAAAGAAACGGAAAAAUUAAAAUUAUGGGGUUGAUUGAAAAACACAAAAUUCAACAAAUUGAAAUUAAGGGUUUGGUCAGAAUUACGAAUUUGAUUGAAAAACAGAAAAUGAAUGGAUGGAGAUGAAAGUGUGUAGAGGAAAUGACGGAAAAGAAAGGCGAGGAGUGAUAUAACGGUAACUGAAGAGAGAGAAUAUGCGAGGGGUAGAGUGGGAAUAUUCUUCGUUAAAGAGGAUAUCUCUUGGUUUUAUUCUCUUCAGGACAGAGACUUAGAUUAAUUUUUUAUUCCUCUCUUUUCUUAAUUAUUAUAGUUGACACUUGGCAAUGAGGUUCAUUUUGGCUUGGACUGGGACUGGACUUAAAUAAUUAUUUCUCGAGAUAUUUAUGUCCGGACCGGACCUAGUGAACCGGAGUUAGAAGUUAGGCUGGCUAAAAAUAUAUAAAUAUGGAUUUUUUAGUAGUAAUUAUGAAAAUUGAUUUUUUGAUCGUUAGAAAGAAUAUUGAAUCAUAUUUGUGAGUGAAUAAAUAAAAAAUAACGGCUGAAAUAAUGAAAUAACGAUAAAAAAAAAUGAAUUUUUUGAGGUGAAAAAUUACUACCAAAUUUAAAUAUUGAUUUUUAUAAUUCCAUAUGAUAUUUAAUUAUUUGAAUCAACAAGAUCAAUAUACUUCCUAUUUCUAUAUCAAUCAUGAAAUUAUUUUUUUAUUAGACACCUAACUUGUUUCUAAUUUUAAGAAAAAAACAUAUGGCUAGUAUUUUUUUUUUGUAUGAUAUUUAAUUAUUUGAUUCAACGGGAUUAACAUACUUCUUAUUUCUAUAUCAAUCAUGAAAUAUUUUUCUAUUAGACACCUUUUUUUUUCAUUUUAUGAAAAAAAAACAUAUGGCUAUAAUAUAAAACACCGUCAUAUUCAACGGGAUUAACAUACUUCUUAUUUCUAUAUCAAUCAUGAAAUAUUUUUCUAUUAGACACCUUUUUUUUUUCAUUUUACGAAAAAAAAAACAUAUGGCUAUAAUAAAAAACACCGUCAUUUUCAAUGGGAUUAACAUACUUCUUAUUUCUAUAUCAAUCAUGAAUUAUUUUUCUAUUAGACACCUUUUUUUUUUCAUUUUACGAAAAAAAAAACAUAUGGCUAUAAUAAAAAACACCGUCAUUUUCAAUGGGAUUAACAUACUUCUUAUUUCUAUAUCAAUCAUGAAUUAUUUUUCUAUUAGACACCCUUUUUUUUUCAUUUUACAGAAAAUAACAUAUAGCUAUAAUAAAAAACACAGUCUCGUAUGUGUGUGUGUGUACUUAUGUAUGUAUGUGUGUGUGUGUGUAUAUAUAUAUACACACACAUACAAGUAUGUAUAUGUAUACAUAUACUUUUAAACAUAAUUUAUUUACAAAGAAUGUUUGUAAAAUAGAUCCACACAUGAUAUUUAUAGGAAUCUAAUUUAAAGAAAACGUAAACAUUUCAUAAUCAAUUAAAGAUAUUAAAUCACCGACUUCUCCAUGACAUGUUGCAUCUCUAUCUAACAUCAUCCACGCCCCCCAAGCAAGUCAAAUAAAUCCGUAGAUAGGGAAUUAACCCAUGAGUUUGAAACUCAAUAGAUGUCAUUUGUGCAUUUCGUUAUCAAACUAGAAAUUUCGUACUAUUGAUUCAUACCGUUGUACGUAGAUGGAUUUCCGGCAAAAUUCGAUAUCUAUAGCAUUAUCAUAACACGUAGAGCCGGAGAAUAAUCAUUCAAACUAUUGUAGUGCCGAAACAUCGUACCCGAAGGUACCAUUUCAUUCAAACAUUUACCAAAAAUCAUAAUUUGAAACGAAGUAAACAUUUGCACCUCUACCUACCUUGAAUUUUCUUGGAUAUCAAAGAACAAAUCUAGAUUCAAAGUUCGGUAUUCCAAAUACAAUUUACCCUUCUGUUUAUCACAAACAAUGUUAGGAAUCUGCGGCAAUCCAGUUCUAACCACAUGUAAUAUUGUUUGUUGGAAAUACUUGACAUCAGUAUGGUCUAUUUCUCUAGGACACCCUAGUGGUUAAGAUAGUUUAUAUGGUAAAACCAUGCUUAUUCGAGUAGGGUUUAAGUUAUUGUAUCUCAUGUAUCAUGACUAUGCCCCCGUUUGGCCCUCAUUACGUGAAAAAUUAAUGGGUGGAAUAGUAUUUUUUUUGAAAAAUGAGUGGUUAAAAAAGAAGGAAAAAUUUUCGAUUUACGCGUAAUAUUAUUUUAUGGAAGAUUGUGUGAUUGAAAAUAGGAAAGAGAAAAAUGAAAUGUAAUGUAAUGUAAAUUAAUGGGGCUCAAACAGGUGCUAUAUAUAGAUAUUGGAAAAAAAUGCCUACAGGAAAUUACUGCCUCUUGAUCACAAUCACACUAUCCUUGAUAGACAGAAGUCCGAUGGUGGUGCAAUAUUUGUCAUUGUAGGGCAGUUCAAUGAAAGAUGUGUUCCACGGGUCACUUUUUAGAAGAAUCGAUUAGUAUGAACAAGAUCCCACUUAUAAGUGUCGUGCGGGCUUGAUCUCAUCACAAUUUCGCUACUUGUACAGAAACUGUACAUAUUUGUCGAUGGAAUAUGAGAUGACAGUUUUUUGAUCCUUUAUUUGAAUGAAUGAUUGAGGGCCAAAAAUUGCCGCCUCAUUUCUGUCAACAAAUAUGUACAAAAAUUCUGUACAUGUAGCAAUUUUUGUCUCAUCAAACAUCUACCCAUAUAUAUCUUAGUUAUUUGCGUGCACUUAUUGCAACGACUACUGCAGUCAAGCCAAUCAAACCUACCUCCCUCCCUCCGGGCAGUAGAAUGGAAGUUAAAGAAGAUAACAUUCAAUGCCUUUAUGACAUCAAAUUUUACACACAACUAUAGAAAUUGUAUUUUAAGCAUCUUACAUCUAUGUCAGGAGAAAUUACAUGCAUAGAAAAUGCACGAUUAGAGAAACUAAAAACAGAUCAAAAUUCAAAUUAUACGGGGGGCAAUGACAGGUAUAGACCUCCAUAUAACUAGACUAUUUAGCAACUUGUUCAACGACAGGUGAUUUAUUCCAAGCUUCCUCUAAUCCACCAAGCUGCAAUGGUGGCAACGAAAACAUGCUAACAGUUGAGCUUCCACUACGAAUCUCUUUCAAAGCUCGUAAAGCAGAUAUAGUACUUUUCAUAUACAGGCUCUCCAUGAACUCGAUCUCAGCAAGUUCUUUUGGGCCUUUUAGCAGAACUUCAUUGUUGGUUGUGGAACUGGUUGAGGGUUCGUCUCCAUCAGCUGCCUCAGUUUCAGGUGGUGUUUUGUUCACUGGAAACAGGCGGUCGAGCAUUGUCUCACACUCUUUCACAAGCUUGUACAGUAAGUCAGUUGUAAAAAAAGGCUGUUGCACAACCUUCUGUAUGAAUGGCAGGCGAAGCAGAGCACCAGUUCUUUUGUCAUACUUCUUCAAUAUUUUGGCCAGUCCUGUUAAGCACAAAGUGAUAAAGACUAAAUCUUAAUAUUGUUUCAUGUGGACCAUAGUCUAAGACAUUGUAAGUAAAAAUUUAUAAAUAAUAAUUUUAAGGGCAUUAUAUGAACCAACUUCUCCAGCAAAAGGCUGGUAUAAGCCUUAUUUAUUAUCGACAGACUUCUCUAUAACACAUCGAGAUGUAAAUGAUUAGGACUGUGUUGGCUAUGAACAAAUUCUAUUAAUCUUACUUUUAUCCAUCUAGAUUACAGUAUUGAUGCCACAAGGGAUAAUUCAAUGAAUUUUUCAGACAAGACGUAUCUAAAACAGAGGAAAGCAUGAUAUGGAAGUUUUGAUUUGUUGAUAUUCUCACUCAAUAAUUAUAUAGCAGGAAUUCAACAGUCAAGAAAUUCAUAGUUCUAAAGCUGUCAUAAUGUGAAGGCAAAAAACAGAAGUAAUUAGAUUACAGAGUUAACUAGAAAAAUGUAAAAGCUUUUUUUACCUGUAUAAUUAAGAGCACUGUAAUUCUCCAACAAAACCAUCUCCCCAUGAAAGUCGACAAUUUCUUUCCAUAUUUUGAUCGUCUCAUCGUUCUGGUCCUUGGCCUUAGCCACCCGAUCUUGCAAUUCCUUUACACCAAAUAAUGUAAAAAUACGUAAGUUCACUACCAGAACCAAAUAUUCACUCGCAAUCUAUAGUAAAGCAUCUAAUUGCAAAAUAAUAAGAACAGAAUAUAGUAUUCAACACUAAGUGGAAUAUACAAUUUCUUAAAUCUGUUGUCCAAUUGAGUCCAGUCACCAUACGAAACAUGCCUUAAAUGCUAAAAUAACAAUGACAAUUACAAGUAUCCUGCUAAACAAAUAGUGGAAAUUUAUAUUGAACUAUGCCCACAUCAUUGUUGUCGAGAUGUAGGUAAUUCAGCCAAAACAAAAAAAGAAAGUGAAAUGUCAAUAAAAUGAAUUGAGUUUUAUCAUAUCUACUGUUGAAUAAACCAUAAAAAUCAGGUAAAAGAAAAUGGAUGGUCAUUCUAUUUUGCCCUGUGUUCACAUAUAUAUUUUUUAACCCUUAAACUUAGAGCAUCUCCAAGAAACUCUCUAAAUACAAAAUACUCUUUAUUUUAAAGAGUAAAUUAAGAGUGGACAAAAUGUCUCAACAAAACUAGACUAAAUCAAAAUCGAACCCAACCAAGCGGUUUGGUUCAAUUCUACAAAAAGUUUAAUGAUUUUGAUUCUUCGAACCGAGAACCAUUUUGUUUUGGCUUUAAUUUGAUUAUUGGAGACAGCCCAUUAAUUGGAGAUAGCUCAUUAAUUGGUUCUGUGUCAUUGGAGAUAUUUCAUUAAUUGUGUACACGCUAAUUUUGUAUUCAUUGAAUUUUUUUUUCUUUCACCCCUUUUCAAUUUACACAGCGCUACAGCAUGUCAACUCCCUAUUUCUUCACGUUAGUAGAGGAGAAUUGUCAAUCACUUAAAAAGCCUUUAAACUAUCUUUUCACCUUGAUUAUUUGAUGAAUUAUUUGGGUUCUUCACAUAGAGGAAAAUUCAAUAAGCAUUCAUGGAUAUAAAUGGUUAAAGGUUUCCUGUAAAAGUGGAAUGUAAACAUUUUGCAUAAUUCAUCAUUUAUUGUGGGGGUAUGUCGUCAAAACAGCUACAAUUAAUUUAGGGCUUUUGUGGAGAUAGGUGAGUACCAUUUUUUAUUUUUAUUUUUUUUGAUAGGUAAUCAUAAUUUUAUUAAUUAAAAGAGAUUACACGGGAUGUGUACAAUCACUUUAAACAAGAGAGAAACGUCAUGAAAUUAGGCAACCCUUCUAUUGUUGUUAUUUCAUGUUGGGUUUUAUUGCUUUAGGAUAUUUUCAAUGCUUUAUGGUGCAAGCUUGAAAAUUUAAGUAGUUAAUUCUAACCAAAUGGUUCGGCUCCAAUUUGAUUCCAUAUCUUAAAAAAGUCAUUUGAUUCCAUUAUCAAAAGAAUCAUUAAUUCAUGAUUCGGUUCGGUUCGGUUAUCUUGGAACUAGAACUAAAUGGAACCAUGUACAUCCCUAAAGUUAAUGCAUAAAAAUAAGCUCUAAGAGAUUCCAUUUUAAUUUUUAAAAUAGAAGUGGUUUGGAUUUCCAAAAUUAGAGAGCCAAACUUACUCCAUUCUCAAUGUACAAUGAUUGCUUUAAUAAGUCACAAAAUUCAAUACUCUAGUUCUUAAACUAUUCAAAACACAUUUAAAUUGAUUGCCUAUUGAUAAAUAAAAAAUUAUAUUAAAUAAAAUAUAAUGAGAAACCAAUAAAUAUUUCUUGGAAAAAAUAAAAAUGAAGAGCCAAAAUAGAAAGCAUUGUUGAAGUGUAUAAAAAUUUCAACUCUCUAAAUUUAAAGAUGCUCUCAACAAUGCAUGAGAUGCUUAUAAAGAGUCUCUCGGAUAUGCUCUUAGUAGCAUUAGACAUAUGGCUAUUUGGCAGGCCUAAAUAUCUUUGCAAGUUCUGAUAUUACACAUUAAUGAGAAGGAAAGUAAUAAUUUCUUUAAGAUCACAAAAAUCGGAUCCAGGAUCCGAGAAAGAAUUCCUAAUUAAACUGUUGUCAAAACCUUUAAAUGCAGUAAAUUGCCCAAGUUGCAAAAUUCUUGAAAGGGACAGAGCGAUCCAACUCCAAAAGAUUAGUAAUAAACGCGUAGAAUUCGUCGAAAAUCAAAUCAAUUCAAAUGAAUACGAAUUAUUCCAUCAAAAAUGUAGCACCGCAUAAUUAAAGGUAAAAAAGAAUAUUCGUAUAGCAUAAUUACCUUUACUCUGAUGAUGUAUUCUUCCUCCUUCUCAACAAAGAAAGCGUUAAAUUUCUCAAGUUCAUCCUCCAAUAACUUGACGAAAUUUGCCUCCGCCUCCGUCAUAACCACCCUUUCGCCACCACCAUCGGCGGCCAAUUCGUCGCCCACUUUCUGCCUCUUCUUGGCACUACCCUCUUCCCCAGCCGAUGACGACGGCCCCUUCGCCUCUAUCAGCUUGAGCUUCUUUUUGAGCUCCUUGUAUGACAAAAACUUGUCCCUCCAUUCAGGUAAAGUCUCAUCAAUUUGAUUGCUCAAACUCUUUCCAAACUUCAUACCGACUGAAAUCCAAAGAAACGGAAAAAUUAAAAUUAUGGGGUUGAUUGAAAAACACAAAAUUCAACAAAUUGAAAUUAAGGGUUUGGUCAGAAUUACGAAUUUGAUUGAAAAACAGAAAAUGAAUGGAUGGAGAUGAAAGUGUGUAGAGGAAAUGACGGAAAAGAAAGGCGAGGAGUGAUAUAACGGUAACUGAAGAGAGAGAAUAUGCGAGGGGUAGAGUGGGAAUAUUCUUCGUUAAAGAGGAUAUCUCUUGGUUUUAUUCUCUUCAGGACAGAGACUUAGAUUAAUUUUUUAUUCCUCUCUUUUCUUAAUUAUUAUAGUUGACACUUGGCAAUGAGGUUCAUUUUGGCUUGGACUGGGACUGGACUUAAAUAAUUAUUUCUCGAGAUAUUUAUGUCCGGACCGGACCUAGUGAACCGGAGUUAGAAGUUAGGCUGGCUAAAAAUAUAUAAAUAUGGAUUUUUUAGUAGUAAUUAUGAAAAUUGAUUUUUUGAUCGUUAGAAAGAAUAUUGAAUCAUAUUUGUGAGUGAAUAAAUAAAAAAUAACGGCUGAAAUAAUGAAAUAACGAUAAAAAAAAAUGAAUUUUUUGAGGUGAAAAAUUACUACCAAAUUUAAAUAUUGAUUUUUAUAAUUCCAUAUGAUAUUUAAUUAUUUGAAUCAACAAGAUCAAUAUACUUCCUAUUUCUAUAUCAAUCAUGAAAUUAUUUUUUUAUUAGACACCUAACUUGUUUCUAAUUUUAAGAAAAAAACAUAUGGCUAGUAUUUUUUUUUUGUAUGAUAUUUAAUUAUUUGAUUCAACGGGAUUAACAUACUUCUUAUUUCUAUAUCAAUCAUGAAAUAUUUUUCUAUUAGACACCUUUUUUUUUCAUUUUAUGAAAAAAAAACAUAUGGCUAUAAUAUAAAACACCGUCAUAUUCAACGGGAUUAACAUACUUCUUAUUUCUAUAUCAAUCAUGAAUUAUUUUUCUAUUAGACACCUUUUUUUUUUCAUUUUACGAAAAAAAAAACAUAUGGCUAUAAUAAAAAACACCGUCAUUUUCAAUGGGAUUAACAUACUUCUUAUUUCUAUAUCAAUCAUGAAUUAUUUUUCUAUUAGACACCCUUUUUUUUUCAUUUUACAGAAAAUAACAUAUAGCUAUAAUAAAAAACACAGUCUCGUGUACUUAUGUAUGUAUAUGUAUGUAUGUGUGUGUGUGUGUAUAUAUAUAUACACACACAUACAAGUAUGUAUAUGUAUACAUAUACUUUUAAACAUAAUUUAUUUACAAAGAAUGUUUGUAAAAUAGAUCCACACAUGAUAUUUAUAGGAAUCUAAUUUAAAGAAAACGUAAACAUUUCAUAAUCAAUUAAAGAUAUUAAAUCACCGACUUCUCCAUGACAUGUUGCAUCUCUAUCUAACAUCAUCCACGCCUCCCAAGCAAGUCAAAUAAAUCCGUAGAUAGGGAAUUAACCCAUGAGUUUGAAACUCAAUAGAUGUCAUUUGUGCAUUUCGUUAUCAAACUAGAAAUUUCGUACUAUUGAUUCAUACCGUUGUACGUAGAUGGAUUUCCGGCAAAAUUCGAUAUCUAUAGCAUUAUCAUAACACGUAGAGCCGGAGAAUAAUCAUUCAAACUAUUGUAGUGCCGAAACAACGUACCCGAAGGUACCAUUUCAUUCAAACAUUUACCAAAAAUCAUAAUUUGAAACGAAGUAAACAUUUGCACCUCUACCUACCUUGAAUUUUCUUGGAUAUCAAAGAACAAAUGUGUAGAAAGCCUUUCUUCUUCUCACCAUUGUUAUUCCCUAAACUUAAAUUGACAUAAAAUAUAUUUUUUUUGAAAGAAAAUAAGAUGAAAUUCUAAUUUAAAGAAGGAUGUAGUAAAAAAGUGACAUUCUAUUUCUCGUAACAUUUCUUUUUAAUGAAAAACUAAAUGGAGAGUUGUAUUAUCAUAAAGUUUGUUAAAUUGAAUCUUUAAUUAAGAAUUUAAAGAGUUUUUAAGCCUAAAAAAAAAUUCAUAAAAAAGUUUUAUAAAAACAUCUACAUGGUGAUUCAAACAUGGGUUGCCUAUAUGAAAUACCAUGUAGAUGACCAUUGGGACAACCCAGUUAUUCAUUAAAUCUUUGUAAUCAAAUUUACUUAAAUUUAAUCUCUUAAAUUGUUGAGUUUUUAAUUAAUUUAUAGCUUGGGCUUUCAAAAUCUUAAAUGGUUUGAACUUCCACAACUCGUUUCUUGAAUGAGAUAUAUAUACAUACUACUUGUACAUACAUAUACAUAUGACAAAUCCAAAAUAUUUUUUUUUCCAACCAAAGUACAAAAUUAGUGAAGUUUAUUUGUCAUUAAAACUUGUUUAUGAUCAUAUGUCAAAUCCAAAACAACUAGAUAGAAUGAACGGUAAUUUCUAUUUCACUCAUGAUUUUAUAAGGUCGAAUAAACUCAAAUCUAAUUCUUAAAUGAAUAUAUAAUAUUUUAAUUUCUUUAUCAAAGUAAACAGUUAUAUUUUUAAAUUAGUGAGAUUUUCACCUAUUAUAUACAUUUAACCCCUGUUUUACAAGGAUUAAUCUAGUUAUGUAUUAAAGUCAAAAUUAACAUUUAAUUUUAAUAAAUUAUUUCAUCCACAAAUUUUUAAUCACAUAUUUCAUUACUUUCUAUCAAACUCUGCAAAGAAUCUAUUUUAAUCUUCACCAAACAGGACUUAAAUUUUGAGUUAAAAUGAAGAAUGAUUUUCAAUUAAAUUUUUAACAGUAUAUGGAAAGAGAGUGUCUUCCAACUAAUAUAUACACAAAUAGUGUAAGUAUUGCUAACUUUGCUUUCUUCUUUCUUUAUAAAUUUUCCCUCUAGUAGUUAGGAACGCUUGACUUUUGCUUGAUUUGAAUACUUUUAAUGGAAAGAAUAUUUUUGUGGAAUAUACGUAUGCAAUGAAGAGUGUAAGUUGACCCAAAACACAAGGUUAGAUAGAAGUAAUUUUAAGAAGGAAAUUGUAACUUUACUAGCGACUUGGUUUUCAUUUUCGAUUAUUUUUUCAGUACGAUAUUCUCUAAUACCUAUUUUCAUAAUUUUGAUAAUUAACUAUUUACACGUGCUUAAUAUAUAUAUAUAUAUAGACACACACAUACACACACACACACACACAAAAUAAUAAUAAAUAAAUCAAAGCUACUGUUUCAUUUACUCUUGGAAAUUAAUUAUCAAUGUUCAUUUUCAUUGUUUGUUAAAACAUAUACAAUAUUUGAUUUUUCUAUUAGUUUAGACUGAAAUAUAAUUUUCUAUACACACACACACACACACACACAAAAAUAAAUAAAUAAAUCAAAGCUACUAUUUCAUUGACUCUUGGAAAUAAAUUAUCAAUGUUCAUUUUCAUUGUUUGUUAGAACAUAAUAUUUGAUUUUUCUAUUAGUUUAGAUUGAAAUAUAAUUUUCUGAUAAAAAAAAGGCACCAACGCGCCAGCUAGAAUUGGAGAGUCGGUUCAAACCAAGGCACAAGCCAAGUUGUGAACUAGUAUAAAUAUCGCAUGUGGAAUAUGCUAGUUUGCUUUGAGAAGAAUAUAUACGACGGAGGCAAAUGUAUCCCCAAAGAAAUUUUGGAAUUUAUGUUGAUUUUGAUUUACCAUAAAUUAUCAAGUACCUUGAACUUUAAUUGGUUGCAGAUUAUCUUUUAAUGAAUAUAUUUUUUCAACAUUGAAAGGGGCAACUAUAUCCUGAAAAAUCAGAUUAAAUUUUAUAUAAUGAAACAAUUCUCUAUUUUUAUCCAGAAGUAAUAAAUAGAAGCAAGCUAUUGAAAAAUUCAUUCACCUGCAAAUAAUUGUAGACAAAGUAUCUGAUGUAUUCAUUGAUACAAGAAAAGAGACAAAACUAUAAGUACUGGCAAAAAAUACUCAAACAUAAAAAAUAUCAUAUAUAACAAUCUACUGUAAUGAAUGAAUCUUAAAUAUCCACAAGCGUGUUCGAUCAAUCGAUGCCAAAAAAAUUGUACCAUAAUAGAAAAUUAAGAGAAAUAUCAACUAAAAAACAUUGAUCAAUUAAAUACUGAUAAUGUGAUUCUCGUAGAUAGAUUAUUGAAAUGAAAUAAUAUUAUUAUGGACAACAUAUUCACUUUUAAUACGAGUGGUGGCUUUGAUUAUAGACAGGGCAGGCGAUCACCUGAGGCUCACUUUUGUGAGGGUCCCCAAAAAUAUUUAUUAUAUUAUAAAAAUAAUUGUAAAUAAAAGAAAUUUCAAAUGCAAUCAACCAAGAAGCUAUCUGAUUAGCAAACAUAUCAAUCUUUAAUUAAAAUGUAAAUGAUGAGUUAUUGCAAUCUUUAUUUUGUAGAAGUAUUUGAAGUUUAAUUAUAUAAAUGUCUUAGUAAGUUCAAUUAAAAUAGAAGAACCUUUAAUUUUUUUUAACUUAAUUUUUCAUUCCUUAACGUGGAUAAUAUUCCAUGACAAGGAUUGUUUGAUGAAUUAUCAUAUAUUACUAAAACAAUUGAACUUGAUAUUGGUGAUUAAGAGGAUAGGGUUAUGAUAAUUAUUCUGAUAUGAAAGGAAGUCAUACAUGUUUACAGAAAAGAUUACUAAAGUAAAUUCAAUGACAUGUUACACACCAUGUGAUUGUUAAAGUGAAAUGUCUAACACUUAAUAGAUAUGGGAUGGAAAGUUUUUCCAAGUAACUAACUUCCCUAAAUAUCAAAUGGAGAUACCAUUGUUUCUGGUAUGGAAGUUUCUAUAAAAAUGGAAAACUAUUAUCACAAGUGUGUUGGGGAAGUCUAGUUAAAAGUGUUAAAACAAUAAAAUUUCUAGCGCAAAAAAAUAUAAGUCACUUUGGAGCACAUGGUGAAAACAUGUUAUGACCUUAGAAGUUCAGAGAUACUAAAAGUUUAUCUUCUAACAUUAUGGAUUUCGAGUUAUUGUUUGGGCUGGUUAUUUGAUACAAUAUAUUGUCGGCUGUGAAUAGAGUAAACAAAUGUUGCAAAGUGAGGACAUGUCCAUUGAUGUUUAUAUUAGUCACUUAAAAGAACUUAUUUUAUUUUUUUGAAACAUAUGGAGAAAAUUGAAUUUAAAUUUGACAAGAUUAUCAUUAAAGAAAAUGCUACUCAAAUGGAAGUUGGACCUAAAUUUCAUGAAAAACGUAUUAUUUAUAUAAAGAAGCACUUUAAUAUCAAUGAUGGAAAUAUUUUUCGGAUUUUUGUUUGAUUAAAAAAAAAAAAAAAAGAACAUUGCGGAUGAUAAUUCUUUGAAGUAUCGGUGUAAUAAAAUUUGAAAAAAUUUUGAACCACAACACAAAUUUGAUAUUGAUGACCAAUUAUUUUCUUAGCCCGAAACUAUGAGGAACUGUUUAUUGAAGAGAUUAAAAAAAAAAAAAAGUGAUGAAGUGUUAGAUAAUAUUAAAAUGAUGAACUACUAUUUUUUGAAUGUGUAAACUGCUUAUAUAAAACUAUAUCAAUUACAGUUUGCAUUCGUCUACAUCAGUUUCUUAAAGUUGAAAUUGAUAAAAUUAUACAUUUGGUCAACAAUGUCACAAGAAAUAUUGAAUGUCUUGAUCAUGGUGUAUAUUGAAAUAUAAGUUUUAAAAUAAAUUGAUUGUAAUAGUAAAGGACUUAUCUCCUCGUCCAAGGCCACAGGCCGUGGAAAUCCAGGCCCAUGCAUAUCUCAAUAGUAAAUUAUAGUUUUUAUAUCAAAGAACAAAUAAAUUUAGAAAAGUAAGUUUAACCCCUUCCUAUGCGUGGGUGGGUGGUGGGUGCCAAAUAGGCACCCUGGAAGAUUUCUAGCACAUCUCAAUAGUAAAUUAUAGUUUUAGAUUUGGAAAAGUAAAUUUAAUUUAGACUUUUGAAAGUUUUAGAUUUAGAUUAUUAUUUUUAUAACUUUGAAUGUUUUAAUUUAAUAAAACUUUAUUAUUAUUAUUAUUUUUUUUUUAUUUUUUAAUAUUUACAAGGCCUUCUAUUUGAAGUUCAUCUAAGACCUCUAAAAUCUCAAGAUUGGCCAUAUCUUCAUAUCAUUCAAUAUGAAUAUCAUGUACCACAAUCUGUUAAAGAAUGUCAAAUAAAAUUGAUUGAUAAAAUGAAACGAAACCAUAUAGGCAUAAUGAAUUUCUUAGAGAAAUGUAAGAUGUUUCGGCUUAUAGUUUGAAUCAUAGAAAAUAUAAUCAUUGUAAGAUAUAAAAGAGUUUUUGCAAGAAAGAUGAAUAAGAACAAUAAAAUUAUAAGAUAACACUACAACAAAAAAAGGUAUUUUGCAACAGUAAAAAAACAUUGCCAAAGACUAUUUGCAACGUUCCCACGUAUCUUGCGAACCAUGAUAUUGCCGUAGAGUAGAAGGAUAUGGCAACGAUUUUAGAGUGUUGCUAAUAUCAUUUUUGCAACUUUUUUGAACGUCGCUAAUAACUUUUUCGCAACGUUUUUAAAGAUUUGUUAAUAAUCUUUUUUGGAACGUUUUAAAAAUGUUGUUGAAGCUUGUGUUAAUCUUUUUGCAACAAUCCGUAAAUGUUGUUAUUAACGUUUCUGCAACAUUUUUUCAAUGUUGCAUGUAACUUAUUAGCAACAUUUUUUUUUGAAUGUUGUCUUUACUUGUUUUUCAAGUUUCACAACAUCUUUUAAAUGUUGUCAUUUACCUUUUGCAAUAUUUUUUGAACGUUACCUUCAACUUAUUUGCAAAGUUUUUGAAGAGUUGUCUUUUCUCUAAUUAAUUUGCUAGGCUUUUUCACCUUUUUUUUAAAAAAAAAAUUAUUUCACCUAACCGAUAUAUUUAAAGAUGUUUUGUAUUUUUAUAGUAAAAUAUGCACAGUAGACAGCAUAAUUAAAGAUCUUUAUGAUAGUGUAUGAAGUUGAAAUUAAAAUUUCAUUACAUAAUUUUAAACCAUAAAAAUAGAAAAUGGGAACAAAUGUCAUCCUCUUGCAUCUCCAUUUCAUGAAACUAACUUGAAACCACUAUUAACAUUUUAAAUAAUUGUGCAUGUAGCCCCCCGGGGUAUAGCCCAGUGGUGCAAAGGACAGGAGUGAGGUUAUCUCACGCCUUGCUGGUAGCCGUAGUGUAGGGGUUCGAUUCCUGAGACAUAGAAUUUGACUCCUUGUAGGCGCAGUGGACAGGCAGCUCUUGUUCCCUGGCCUGCUGGGGCACACCCCGUGAUUUACCUCCUUCACAAAGCUCUGGGGGGUGGGAGUUCUCAAGGUUGGGGUUCAACCUUUUUUUUAAAAAAAUAAUUGUGCCUGUACAAAUAACCUUUUCACCUUAGCAGCCUUGACUGAGUUACAAAAAGGUCACAUUGAGGUAUUAUGUUAAAAAUCAAUUCAACAUGCAGCUUGUCCACUUCUAAAACAAGAAGAAACAACAUCAAGUCUUGAAAAAAGUUUAGCUUUGAGGCCUACCACUUUUACAAAGCAGAGUUGGCAAUAACCAAUGUAGACCAUCACUUGACACAAAAGCAACUAGAAAAGAUUCUACUAGUACAAGCGUGUCAGAUAAAAAGAACCAAGAAAUCUGAAGCAUAAGAACUGCAACACGACUGGGGCAUAGCUCUAAAAAAAAACUUGCAAUAGAUAAAUACACCUUGUUAGGCAAUUUGUUGUCAAACUACCUUCCGGGCAAUGAUGUAACCUCGAUUUUAUUUAUUAUCAAUCGGCCUUGGCCAUAUGAUUGAACUUAUGUCGACACUACCAUCGAGACAACCCAAUCCAAUUUUCUACGGGCCAGUAGAAGCAACAUAUUUUAAUAGUGUUGCUCGUAGCCCAUCCCAUUUACUUGGAUGGCUACGAUAUCCAUUUGGAGUCUAAUACCUUUGUGUUAAGCCUCUUUUGGACCACUAAGUUAACCUACCCUAACUUACCAUAUAUGGUCACACCUUUGGGCUAUAAUUCUUGGCUUCCUUCACGCCUCCAAAAUAGUGGUCUUCUUUACUCUCUUUGUGAGUUCUUCUCCCCUAACUCUCGGCCUCCUUCUCUCAAGCAACCUGUGUGGUUUCUCUUGGACUAUAUUGAUCUCAUCUUGGCCGACUCUUUGAGGGUAUGAAUAGCAACCGUAGGUGGGAAGAAGAAAAAAGAGAUUUGGGUAUGUCUCAAUAGUGGUGGUAUCGACUUUGGUGGAAACUGAGCUAGGUAUCACCUUGGGUAUUGCUAGAUUUUGGUCUCACAUCUGGUAUCAGAGCCAAGGUCAUCUUCUCCAACAAGAAAUCGAUAAUAACCGGCGACGGGUUCGCGAUUUUCAAAAGGGGUCGAACCUGUAACUGCUUAUUCUGACCAAACACGACCUCCGUUGGACAAAUGGAGGCCGGACCCAUAACCAGUAGGUGGAGGCGCCUCCGGUGGUGAGGCACGUUGAGGCGGCGUAGCGUGGAGGAGCUCCUGCGUGAUUUUUUUCAUGCCAUUUCAUUUAUUUUGAUUUCCUGAACGUACUAAUGUGUUUGGUUUAAUAUUUCAGGCUGUGCAGAAAAGAUUGGACAAUUUUGCCCCCACCUUCAAUCUGCAUUUGUUGCUGAUCAGAAAUUUGCUGAAUUUUUAGGGCGAAUAGUGGUGGCCCUAAAGCAGCAAAUUCGCAUCUCUCCACGUUACGGACUCAGAUAAGUUCGCUUUGGUAAAUUGGUUGAAACCUUUAUAUUUCUGCACUAGCAGAUCAUCGUGUGGGGUAAUCAUUAGGUUUGGGGGUUGUCAUUACUUGGCAACCAUUGUUUGUGCUAGAAAUUAGGGAUACUUGCUCUUAAUUGUUUGAGUGAGUAUUUGUUUUUGGGUUAAAAUCAGUUUUUAAUUCUUAGUGAUCUAAUUACUGUGUAACUAGUUAUCUACUAGACGUAUCUUUUGUUGCAUUGUUACUUCUGCUGCUUACUUAUUCCGUUAGAACUACCGUGACCUUACCCGUUCGAACAUUCCCUUGAUCUAAGACCUCGAGUUUUACGAAACCCUGGGAAUCUAGAACAGUGUAUACUGUCUGUGACCCUAUGACUACUUUGUGUGGUUUGAUUGUGGUUUGUGCAUUCUUUGACUGUUGUGUGAAGAUGUCAACUCAUAACUUUGAUUUGGGAAUUUUUAACGAAAAGGGUGACUUUUCUAUUUGGCAACAAAAAAUGAAGGGCAUUUUAGUCAAACAAAAAGUUUCAAAAGCCAUUGAAGGCAAUUUUCAAACUGAUUUUUCAAAAGAAAAAAGAGAAGAAGCCAAUGAACUUGCUUACACCUCAAUCAUUUUACACUUGUCUGACGUCGUUUUAAGAUAGGUGGGUAAACUGAAAACUACCAAAGAACUUUGGAAAAAAUUAGAAGACUUAUAUUUGCUUAAGUCUACACCGAAUAAACUUCACUUGCUCGAACAUUUUUUCAGUUUUAAAAUGGAUUCUUCAAAGGAUCUCGAUGAUAAUUUAGACGUGUUUAACAAAUUGGUGCAAGAUAUAGUUAAUUGUGAUGAGACUGUGUCCGAAACUUAUAAGGCUAUAAUUUUGUUCAAUGCAAUUCCUGAUUCCUAUAAGGAAAUUAAGAACGCCAUUAGGUAUGAUAGAGACACGUUGACACCUGCAAUUGUCAUAGACUCCCUUAGAAGUAAAGAAAUAAAAAUUAUGGCUGAAAAACACGAUAAGAGAAAUGAUGAGGUACAUAUGAUGCAGGGUAGAACUCAAAUUAGGCAAAAUAGUGAUGAUGAAUAUCAAACUAGUGGCGAGUCAAGUGGUAAUGGAUGGAAAAAGAAGAGCAAAUGUAGGUCUAGAUCAAAAUCUAGGACUAAGGUAAGAAAAUGCUAUGUUUAUGGAAACAUGGGCAUUUUAUAAAGGAUUGUCAUAAGGAGAAGGGUAAGCUAAAGGUUAAGGAGAGAGAUGAGGUAAAUGUGUUAGCAUCUACUUUCGAUAUAAAUGGUGGUGAGGUCUAUAUGAUUACAAGCCCCAUUACAUAUACUGUUGAAUUAAAUCUAACUGCUGAUUCCCACAUGCAUGAGUGAAUACUUGACUCUGGUGCAUCUUUUCAUGUGACGUCUGAGAAGAAUUGGUUUUAUAAAUUGCAUGAAUCUAAUGUUUGGCAUGUUGUGCUGUGUGAUAACUUUGUCUAUACUAUUGCUGGAAUUGGUGACAUAAAGGUAAAAUUUGACACAUGUUUUGUGUACACGUUAAAGGAUGUUAGAUAUAUUCCUAAAUUGUCUAGGAAUCUGAUUUCAGUAGGGAGACUUGAAAAUGAUGACUUUACUGGUAAAAUUGAAAAUGGUAUGCUAAAAAUGAUCAAGGGUGCUUUAGCUUCCAUUAAGGGAAUUAAGAAAAACGAUAUAUAUAUUACUCUUGGGGAAGUGAUUAGAGGUUUGAACUCCUCUAUCUCUUCUGCCAAGAUUGAUCACACACACACAUGGCAUAAUAAACUUGCUCACGUAGGCAUCAAGGGACUUAAGCUACUUAAUGAAAAAGGUGCUUUUAGUAAUGACUGUGUGUCAGAUUUGUCAUUUUGUGAUCAUUGUGUGCUUGGUAAGCAUCAUAAAACUUCUUUCUCUACGAGUGUUAAUAGAGUUAAAGACAUGCUUGAAUAUGUGCACUCUGAUCUGUGGAGUUCUGCUAGUAAUCUCACAUCGGGUGGGAAUAGAUAUUUUCUGUCUAUUAUCAAUGACUACACUAGGAAAGUGUGGGUCUAUCUAUUGAAAGAUAAAUCUGAGACCUUUAAUAGUUUUAACAAUUGGAAGAGACAAGUGGAAAACCAAACUGGUAAGAAAAUCAAAUUUUUAAGGACAGAUAACGGCAUAGAAUUCUGCAAUAAGGAAUUGACAGUAUGUGUAAAGAAAGCGGCAUAACUAGACAUAAGACCGUUCCUUACACUCCUCAGCAAAAUGGGGUAGCAGAAAGGAUGAAUAGGACCAUACUUGAUAAAGUACGUUGCAUGAUGUUAAGUUCUGGUGUUCCCAAGUCAUUUUGGGGUGAGGUUGUUAUGACUGCUUGUUAUUUGAUUAACCUGACUCCUUCUGCUGCAUUGAAUGGUGACACUCCGCAUGAGAGAUGGUCGGAUAAACUGAGUGAUUACUCGAUGCUUAGAACUUUUGGCUGUACAGCUUUUUCUCAUCAAAGUGAGGGUAAGUUGGAACCUAGAACUAGAAAGUGUAUCUUUCUAGGAUACCCCGAGGAUGUUAAGGGUUAUAGGUUAUGGGAUAGAAGCCAAAAAGGGGUUAAGAUCAUCAUAAGUAGGGAUGUCACGUUUAACGAGAAUGAGAUGCCGUGUAUUAAAGGGAAAACUGAACCUGAGAAUGAAACUGAACCAGGUGAAGAGAGAGACCCGUAUAAGGUGAAGUUAGGAAAGCUCAGUACACCUGCCCCUACUGCUCCUAAUGAGGUGGAGAUUGAAGUUCAGGAACCUAAGGUGGAGAAUAGUAACGAAGUAGUGAUAGAAGAGCACUAUGAGAAAGAAAAUCUUUUAGCUAACUACAAUUUAGUUAGGGACAGAGAGAGGAGACAAACAAGAGAACCUAGAAGGUUUGGUUUCGAAUCUGAAUUAGCUUUCGCCCAUGCUAGUUAUGAAGAAUUAGCUGAUAAAGAGCCAAAAACCUUUGAAGCGGCAAUAGAUAGUGAUCAAUCUAAGGAGUGGCUUAAGGUGAUCAAAGAAGAGAUGAGUUCUCUAGAAAAGAAUCAGACUUGGGAACUGGUACCUAGACCUAAGAACAAAUCGAUCGUCGAUUGCAAAUGAAUUUUUAAGGUUAAGGAAGGUAUUAGUAGUUCGAAACCCUUAAGGUUUAAAGCUAGGUUAGUAGCUAAGGGUUACACACCGAAAGAAGGAAUUGAUUAUAAUGAGAUUUUCUCACCAGUUGUUAAGUACACCACUAUUAGGGUCAUGCUUGCCUUGGUUGCGUAUUUUGACUGGGAACUUGAACAAUUUGAUGUAAAAACUGUCUUUUUACAUGGUGAAUUUGAUGAACAAAUCUUCAUGAAUCAACCAAAAUGUUUUAAGGAUAAGUCAAAACCUGAUCAUGUGUGUUUUCUGAAAAGGUCCCUAUGUGACUUAAAACAAUCACCUAGACAGUGGUACAAGAGGUUUGAUUCUUUUGUACUCACCAUAGGGUUCCAAAGAAGUAAAUUUGAUAAUUGCCUAUAUUUUCAAUACAACGAGACUGAUAAUAAUUAUCAAUUUUUGUUGCUCUAUGUGGACGACAUGCUUUUAAUUGACUCUUCUUCAAAGUGGAUAAACAAUAUAAAAGCAAAAUUAAGUGGUGAAUUUGACAUGAAAGACCUAGGUAAGGCUAAGAGAAUUCUAGGCAUGGAAAUAGAAAGAGAUAGGUCAAAUCCCGUUUUGUUCUUACAUCAAUCUCCAUACAUAUCCAAGGUGUUGAAGAAAUUUAAUAUGAGUGAUUGCAAACCUGUCACAUUACCCCUUGCUAGCCUUUUGUUUUAUCUAAAGAACAAUCUCAUUGCAAUGAGCGUGAAAUAGAAUACAUGAGUAGAGUCCCAUACUCUAAUGUGAUUGAUUCCAUAAUGUAUUUGAUGGUUUGCACUAGACCGGAUUUAGGUUUUGUUGUCAGUACUCUUAGUAGGUACAUGGUUAAUCCAAGCCCUAAACAUUGGGAAGCAUUAAAGUGGUUAUUAAGGUACGGGUAACGUAGAUCUAAAGUUCAGUGCUAAUAAGGAAGGUGUAAAAUUGAAGGGUUACUUCCUCUUACGUGUUUACCCUAUCAAAUUCAUGUGUUAGCUGGAAAUCACAGUUACAACAUAUUGUUGCACUAUCUACCACUGAAUCUGAGUAUAUUGCUACUACUGAAGCAAUUAAAGAGGCCUUAUGGCUUAGACGUUUACUUCAUGAACUAUUUAUCUUGAAUGAAUAUGUGGUUGUAUAUUCUGAUAGUCAGUCAUCCAUACAUUUAUGUAAGAACCCCAUUUUUCACAAACGCACUAAACACAUUAAUGUUAGACUACAAUUUAUUAGAGAUAUAGUAUCUCAAGAGGUGGUGAAACUUGAAAAAGUCCACACACAAUACAAUCCUUCAGAUAUGGGCACGAAGGUGUUGCCACUGGUAAAGUUUAGAAGUUGCAAGGAUCUUCUAAACAUUAGUACAAGUAAAUAAUUUUCAAUUUUAUUGGUUUUCUAUUAGAGGUGUCACUAAUGGAAGACAUUUUGUUUUGCAGGUCCUUUGACACCAAGGUGGAGGUUGUUAGGCAAUUUGUUGUCAAACGACCUCCCGGGCAAUGAUGUAACUUCGAUUUUAUUUAUUAUCAAUCGGCCUUGGCCAUAUGAUUGAACUUAUGUCGACACAACCAUCGAGACAACCCAAUCCAAUUUUCUACGGGCCAUUAGAAGCAACAUAUUUUAAUAGUGUUGCUCGUGACCCGUCCCAUUUACUUGGAUGGCUACGAUGUCCAUUUGGAGCCCAAUACCUUUGUGUUAAGCCUCUUUUGGACCACUAAGUUAACAUACCCUAACUUACCAUAUAUGGUCACACCUUUGGGCUAUAAUUCUUGGCUUCCUUCACGCCUCCAAAAUAGUGGUCUUCUUUACUCCUCUCUGUGAGUUCUUCUCCGCUAACUCUCGGCCUCCUUCUCUCAAGCAACCUGUGUGGUUUAUCUUGGACUAUAUUGAUCUCAUCUUGGCCGACUCUUUGUGGGUAUGAAUAGCAACCGUAGGUGGGAAGAAGAAAAAAGAGAUUUGGGUGUGUCUCAAUAGUGGUGGUGUCGACUUUCGUGGAAAAUGAGCCCGGUAUCACCUUGGGUAUUGUUGGAUUUUGUUCUCACACAUUUGAAAGGUCUUAACAUUUAAAAAAACUAAAGGAAUUAUAAGAUAUCAUAGCAGAAGAAAUCACUAAACAAAAGAUAGAAAAGAACAAUACAAAAUCAGGGAGUUAACAUGCUAAUAAAAAUGCUCACAAUCAAUUCUAGAGAAGCACCUGCGGUUUCAAGAAAUUGAUCACAGGUUGAACUUCUUGGUAGGACAAUUUUUUUAAGGAUCCAUGUAAAAGCAUUGUGUUUAUAUUUUUCAGUAAAAGAUAUUUUGGUCAUUUGGUUGAAAUUGCAUGAUCAUGGAUUUAAUUUACUUGAGAUUUUAGGUGUUCAGGCAUCUUACUGGUGCAUGGUUGACGAGGGAAGGAUCACACAAAUUACUGCCAAUCUUCUAAUACAAAGAAGUGUAAUGUUCAUGCAUCUUACUGGGGCAUACUACUGGGAACUAUAUGAAAUGAUAGAAAAGCUUGAUUCAUAACGCAUAUAUAUAAAUAGAACUAGAAUUGAUUCCGAAAAUAGAAAUAGAUUCACACACAUAUGCAAUUAGUCCAAGAUACAUACCUUCAACAGAUAAGUCUGAUACUGCUCUUUGGCCAAGCAACGGUACUUCGCAUGGCUUUACUAAGAGUUCAAAGUUCAUAAGUAGGUCUGUAUAAGGUCAAAUUACCCGUAUACACUUUUUCAACCCAAAGCUUCCAAUAGUCUCGUCUGAGUGGCAAGUGAUGCACUUUUACACUUGGGUAUUGUUCGCGAAAUAUUUCUUUUCGAUUUUAAAACCCACCGCAAAUGUACGGUUCGUUAACAAGUAGUAAAAUGGACUACGAGUCCAAGUAUCGUUCCCACGAGGAUCGAAUUAGCUCUAAUUAGACUAAUGUGACCUUAACCGAAUCUAAUUGAAUGAAAAUUUGAUUUAAAUGUGAAAAGCCCUAAUUUUGGAAGAAAUCCCCAAUUUGAAACCCUAAUUGCAAAGAAAACCCUAAUUUCGAAAUUUCACUAAUCGAAUGAAAUAAACACGCAACUGAAAUGUAAAUAUGCAAUUUUAGAACUAAUGUAUUGAAAUAAAUCGAAAUGAAAUCAUUAAGAACUCGAAUCCCCAAUUGACUAUUAAAAACCCUAAUUUCACAAAUUUAACGAAUCGAUGGAACAAAAUGCCAAUUCAAUGUUCUUAAAUUAUCCAAUACACUCUCUCGAUAUAUAUUGAAUCUACUCUUACACACCACUAGCCUAUAUUUCUAUGGAUGAUGCAAUGUACAAGAAUGCAUGACUUUUUAUGAACAUCUUCAUGAAUUGCAUAAAGCAUAAAGGUAAGUUUCCAUCCCCUAUCGGACCCUAUGUCAAUUUAUAUUCUAUCGAAUUUAUUCCCCUUCUUUCGAAUGAAAAUAACAAAUCAUCUACAAUCACAUAACAAUUGGCCAAAUAAUUAUGGAAGCAUUCAAAUCAUAUAAAUCAAACAUUUGUCCAAUCGAAACUAUUGUUGAAUUAAUGAAAUAAUGGAAAUUUAAAUCAUCAAAAGGUUCAUCAAAUUCCUAAUGAACAAAAACUCUAGCCUAUAAUCAUCAUUACAAAAUCAAGAAAUUGAAAAAUGGAAUAAAAAGAUAAUAAGAAUACACCCGUAUGGAAUUUCUUCAAUCCGUGUGUAUAAUCUUCAAUCCCGUCUCGAACCCGUGCGAAAUUGAAUCCAAAAUCAAGUUUCUUGCCUCCAAUUUUGGUCUCUCCCUUCUCCCUGGUCGUCCCUUCUCCCUGGUCGUUCCUUCCCUUAAUAUAAUGAAUUUGGGUAUUUAUAUCGCGUCCAAAUUAAGUAGGAAAGGAGUUUCAACCAAAACGAAAAACUACGCCCGAAGUUUUAAAACUUAACUAUGCGACCGCAUAGAAGGGAUCUAUGCGGUCGCAUAGAUCAUUUUUUUGGCUCAUUGAAUUCCCUGAAACCUUCUAUGCGACCGCAUAGAAGGUUACACUAUGCGGUCGCAUAGAAGUAGCCAUCUAUGUGGUUCGUGCAAUUUGGUCCCUGAACUUUUUUGUUGCUUCUCUUGACUUCUUUCUUCGAUUUCUUCAUCUUUUCAACAAUUCUUAUCUUCCAAUUGAUGAUCGGCACUUUCAAAUAUUAUGCCACUCAUUCGGCACAUCUUUUGAGUAUUUGCACUUUAGUCCUCCAACUUUCAAUUAUCUUCAUUUUAGUCCAUCUUCCAUUCUUUCUUCCUCCACUUGUUUUGCUUUGUCAUUGAGCUCAUACUCGGCAUGUUUUUAUUCUCGUUCUGCAUUUAGCUCAACUUCUCAAUAAUUGCACUGUUGGUCUUCGAACUAUCAAAUUGUUGCGUUUUGGUCCUUCUUCGGCUCUUUUCUCCUGAAUUCCACAAUUUCCAUUGAAUUACCUACAAUGCAUGAAUUUAACUGGAUUAAGUCACAAUUCAACCAUUUUAUCCAUGUUUAAGUCAUGUUUGUGAAUCAAAUAAGUGUGUAAAAACACACUUAUCAAAUCCCCCAAACUUAAACUAUUGUUUGUCCUCAAACAAUGUAGUGACUCAAAGUUAAACAAACAUGGCUUAGUAGCUUGCCGUGUCUCAGGAUUGGAACUUAGCAAUACAAUAGAACAAUAUCAAUAUUGCAAGAAUAAAAUUAACCUUUACUCAUCAAAUGCAAUACUCAACGUGUGUGUGUGAACUCAUGCCAACAUAUCAAGCUUAUGAAUGGUUUGUUCCCGACCCAUAAUGGUCAAAUUUAUCCUUACAUCACUUGAGAGAUACACAAAUCCUCCAAACUUAUUCUUUUCACUCAAUUAUCUUGGGGUGUGUUCUAAGGUUAGGAGUUUAAAAACUAUAAUCCUUACCCUCUCUUAGUUUGGAUAGAUCUUACCCUUACAAGUACACGUAUCAACAAGUAGAGACUCUCUUUAAUUUGAUUGUUUCAACCUUUAAGCUCAAACUAAGCUACUUACCUCGCAUCAAGGUUAAAGUCAUAUCAACCAAAUGUCCAACAAGGGCUUUUUCUUUUUUCUUUUUUUCAGGUUUUUUUUUCUCCAUCUUCUCAUUUGCUUUCUAUAUAACCCAUGUAACGAGUUUUAAGCGAUGACUCCCAAACCAGUUGGUCUUAGGGCACCAGAUUUUAAACUCUUGCAGCCUUAUUCACCCGAGUUAUAAAGGCUCGAUAAGAUAAAUUUUUGUCAACUUCUCCUUUUUCUUGCUUUCUAUAUGACCCCUUUAAUGAGCUUUAGGUCGAUAAUUCCCAAACCAGUUGGUUUUAGGAUAUCAGGUUUUAAGCCCUAACAGACUUACUUGCUCGAGUCAUAAAGGCUUUAGAGAGAAGUGAUAAUUUUCCAAUUUUUAUUUUAUGCCCUUUACUUGUUUUUUUUUUUUUUAGACAUUUGAUCUCAACAACCAUCCUCAACUUAAAACUUUCACCUAUUUCUCACCUUCUGGGUCUAGGCAAUCCACGCAAUAUAAAUUCAUGCACUGAGCCUCUACUUAUCUCCAUAUUUACCUAUAGUGGCUCAACCAUCUCCAAACUAUCUUAUGGUGAUUUAACGGGUUAAUGAUAUAGAGGGUUAACCUAGGUUUCUCAUAUUUUACUCCAACAAUCCCAUUCAAUAACUUAACAUGAAAACAUGAGCGGCGUGCAAAAGAAUGUCAAGCAUUGCAUCAAUAAGUAUCAGCUAAUUAAAUCCUGUACUAUAUCCACAGUUCUAUUUUACACCUGUCCAAUAAUCACAUCAUAGCCGGCAAGGCUACCAAACCCACACAAGCAUGCAAAAGUAAAAUCAACACUCAUUCAUCACGCAUGCAUCAUGCAAGAAGGUAGUCAAUUUAAUGAUUGAUUGUGAAAAUGCAUAUUAACUACAUGCCGAAUAUUUGUUUGAAAAUUAUGCUACCAUCCCCCAAACUUAUACAGUACAUUGUCCUCAAUGUAAAUGUAAAGUUAGAAAAGCAUAAUUUAAAAAUAUAAACACAACUUGGCAAAUAGAGGUAAACAACACUCCCCUGAUCACAGUGGUGGUCGUGGUGUGUAGCUGGGACCCGCAGCAUGAUCUUCAGGAGGAGAUGGAAGGCGAGAUAGGAUUUGUCUCAUCAACUCUGUCUGCUGCGCUUGCUCUUCCUGGAUGGAUUGAAGACUAUUCUCCAUACUUCCCAAUCGAUCCCAAGUUUCGUUCACUCGCCACUGUAUGCCAUCCAUUCUCCCAGCAUACAUGUUGAACCUACCAUUCAUGGUCUCGACUUCCCGCCGUGCCGCUAUAGCUUCAUUCAAAGCACCCCUUGUCUAGUCCCGGGAAGAGUAGAGGUCUCUCUGCACUUUGUCAACAGUGGUAGUCAUGGUCUCGAAACUCUGCUGGAGAUGUUGUAUGUCCCGGCUAGUUCCAGUGGUGGUGGCGAAUAUCUACCUCAAAACCUGAUUGUCCAUAUCAACCUGGGGUGGUGGUGGAGGAAUUUGAGGCAUGUCAAGGUCUGCAUCUGCUUGACCUUCCUCAUUCAAUUGCUGUCGUUGUCGUGCGUUUUCUAAUUUCUGUUGGUGCUUCAGUCUUGCUCGGUCUUGGGCCUCUAGUGUGGAUUGCUUGAUAAAGGGGCUUGGCUUUUCUGGUGCUUCCCCAGGUUGGAUUUGUAUCCCUGCUGCUCUACAUAUUCCACUUAUCAGACUGGGAAAAAUUAGUGAGUAGUGCCUAUCACCCCAAGUGCCUGUACCAUGAAUUUGGUUGUAGAUGUACGUGGCUAGAUCAAUCUUGUUCCCUCUAACCAAGUGGUAUAUGAAUCCGGCCCUUGGAUUUGUAAAUGUUGUUCUGUGGGAUAUAGGCUCGAUUUUAUGGCACAUGAAUAACCAUAAAAUUGUUAUGGAUGGGAUGAGAUCUAUCUGAUGCCAGUCUGCUGUAGGUAGAGGCCAAGCGUUUUCAUGUCCCAACAAUAUUUCUGCAACCUCAUUCCAGUUGAAGUCUUCGGGAAUAGGGACCACAUUAUUCCAGGAUAACUGAUAGUAGUCAUGAAUUACCUCUGGUGAAAACAUAAUCCAUUUGCCCCUAACCCAAAUCUGAUGUAAGUGCUCCGAUCCGAGAGUGUCGAUUUCUGUGUUGAAGUUUGCAUAAAACUCCUUUGCUAGAUUCUCAUACACCGGAUGAGGUCUUUCUAUUACCUUUUCCCAGUCACAGUUGUGAAUCAGAUAUGAUAUUUCAAAGUUGGGGAAAUCUUCUAGCCUAACUGGCCUCUCGGGAAUGAUUGCCCAAUUACGCACAACAUUGGCAUAACGGGCAGCUGCAUCUGAUGAAAGGAAUCUUCGAACACCCCCUUCGGGUUCUCUUGUUCGUGCCGUUCCAGAUGAGGAGCCGACUUUCUCUUUUCCCUUUGAAGUUCUUUUAGGAGACAUCCUGCAAAAGGAAAUACACAAUAUCACUCACUUGGUGUAGAAAAAAUGGGCAUGAAUAAACUUUGAAUUCAUAAUCCCCCAAACUUUCUUCAAUAUGCACAUUUACGUGUGUUUAUGUAAUGUUUCAUAUCAUGAAUCAUCAAUAUAACUCUAGCAUUGCAUAAGUAUGGAAAACUCAAAAUUUUGGCUUGAACAUGCAUUUCUAAAAAUUUUUACCCAUGACCAAGUGACCAAGUUCGGCCCCGGGCAUCACCGAGAAAUAUCCAAAUUUUCCCGAGCAAGUUUUGGACAUGUGAAAGUACAUAAUGAUAUCUAGCAUAUAUCCAAAUUUCACCCUAAUUGGAGGUUGUUUGCAUUAGAAAACAUAGGGACGAAGGUAGUGAUGUGAGUGGAUAUGUUGAACCAUGAAAUGCCUUUGUCAAUUCAAAUGUUAAGGUAAUGUUUUCAAUUGAAAUAUCACAUGAUUUUUCGACAAAAACGCUAUACAAUAAUGAUGUAAACUAUUACAUAAGUGAAAAGCCCAAAAAAAUCAAAACAUGCGUUAAUGUGGCAUUUCGUCGAACACUUGGUGUGCAAUGUGAAUUUCUUCCUAUUUCUUACAUACACACACCACCAUGAAAUUGCCCUCAAUUCACAACACCAUGUCAAACUACCUUAUUCCUUCUAACUAAUGCCAACACAAUGAAUGAUAACCGGAAAAUGAAGCUCGAAAUUAGGGAUUAGAAGAACAUACCUUGUAGUUCCAAUUUUCUUAUUAAAUGAAAUGUGGCACCUCAAUGUAGAACCCAAUCCAACUUAGGUGCUAGAAUUGUGAAUGUGUGAAGUGGGUGCAAGUGAGGAGUGAUAUGUGUGUGGUGUGCAAGUGUGAGGGUGGGUGAAGUGUGUGUCUCGAGUGUGAGGGAGAGGGGGGAAAUUUUGGGGAGAAAUGGUGUGGUCACGGGUUAAAACCCGUGACCACAACACUAUGCGACCGCAUAGUGUUGCACUAUGCGGUCGCAUAGUGCAAACAGAGGCUUCCAUUUCUCUUUCGGUUAAGGUCUAUGCGGUCGCAUAGACCUUUGGUUUAUGCGGUCACAUAGACCAAACCGGGUUUCAAAAAUUUUUUUUUUUUUAUAUUGACUUAGAAUUUAAACUCCCCCAAAAUCGAUUUUUCACUUAAAAAAAAAAUUGACUCGCCUCGCUAUAUUCCUGGAAAAAUUGAAAAUUUUGACUCGAAAAGAGGAAUAUGCUCAUUGAAGACUUGGCACCAAAACCGAUUUUUUUCAUAACUGUUGUCGCGCAUUCUGAAAGCUUAACCAAAACGAACAUCUUCGCACAUCGGAAUGUGUGACACACACUCGAACACCCAAACACUUCAUUUAGAACCCAUUCAUGCAACAUUAAACGUGUAGUGCCUAGGCUGUCAUACAAAAUAUGAUCGAUGACCUAAGAAACAAACUAAACUCAAACAAAUUCCUAAAAUAAUGCAAUGCAAUAAAAUAAAUUUAAGGAUACAGUGGGUUGCCUCCCACUCAGCGCUAGGUUAUAGUCGAUAGCUCGACUUUACCAUAUUGUGUCAUUCUGGCGAUCCAAGAUGGACGGUAGAUUUGUCCUUUGAGAAAUCACCGCCCCAAUAGUGCUUCAAACGCUGUCCAUUAACUUUGAAUGUCCCCUUGCUGUCGUGAGUGAUCUCAAUUGCCCCAUGUGGAAACACUUGUGUAAUGGUAUAUGGACCAGACCAUCUCGAUCUCAAUUUUUCUGGAAACAGUUUAAGCCUGGAGUUGUACAGUAAUACUUUUUGCCCCACUUGAAAGUCACGCCUCUGGAUAUGCAUGUCAUGCCAUUUCUUGGUGCGCUCUUUGUAGAUCUUUGAGUUCUCAUAGGCUUCCAUUCUGAGUUCAUCAAGUUCAUUCAGUUGUAACAGCCGUUUUUCACCUGCAGCCUUCAAAUCCAAGUUCAACUUCUUCAUUGCCCAGUAAACAUGAUGUUCGAUCUCGAGAGGUAAAUGGCAUGCUUUCCCAAAAACCAGUCGAUAUGGAGACAUUCCUAUAGGAGUCUUGAAUGCAGUCCUGUAGGCCCACAAGGCAUCAUCCAAUUUCUUUGACCAAUCCUUUCGUGAUGAGUUAACUGUGACUUCCAGAAUACGCUUCAAUUGCCUAUUGGAUACUUCGACCUAUCUGCUGGUUUGGGGAUAAUAUGCGGUGGCUAUGCGGUGCUUGACGCCAUAUUUUGAUAACAACUGCUCGAACUGACGAUUGCAGAAAUGUGUGCCCCCGUCACUGAUUAUGACUCUCGGUGUCCCAAAUCGGGUGAAAAUAUUCUUCUUCACAAACUCAAUCACCACUUUUCCAUCAUUUGUAGGCAAUGCAACCGCUUCAACCUACUUCGAGACAUAGUCCACCGCCACUAAAAUGUAUUGAUUUGAAAAAGAUGGUGGGAAUGGCCCCAUGAAAUCGAUCCCCCAGACGUCAAAUAAUUCCACCUCUAAGAUACUACUCAAAGGCAUCUCAUUUCUUCUAGAGAUGUUACCCGUACGCUGACAUCGGUCACACCUCUUUACAAAUUCAAACGCGUCCUUAAAGAGUGUGGGCGAGUAAAAAUCUGAUUGGAGAAUUUUCGCCGCUGUCUUAGAAGCACCAAAAUGCCCUGCAUAUAUUGAUGAGUGAUAGUUCUCUAAUAUCAAAGGCACCUCUUCCUCUGGUACACAACGCCGAACGAUUUGAUCAGCCCCCCGCCUGUAGAGAAUGGGGUCUUCCCAAAAGUAGUACUUCAAUUCCGCGAAGAAUUUCUUCUUCUGGUGACUUGAGUAAUCUGGCGGUAUGAUAGACCUGGCUAAAUAGUUAACUAUAUCUGCAUACUAGGGUGUUUCCAUCACACCAAAGAUCUGCUCAUCUGGGAAGAUCUCGUUUAUUUCCACUGUCUCUUCCUGUUCUGUGUCCUCAAGCCGAGAUAGGUGGUCCGCUACCACGUUUUCACUGCCUUUCUUAUCCUUGAUUUCCAGGUCAAACUCUUGAAGUAGCAAUAUCCAACGGAUGAGGCGUGGCUUAGCAUCCUUCUUCUCCAUCAAGUAUCUGAUGGCGGCAUGAUCUGUGUAGACUAUGACCUUCGACCCCACAGGGUAUGAUCGAAAUUUUUCAAACGCAUAGACUACAGCAAAAAGCUCUUUCUCCGUAGUGGCAUAAUUUAAUUGAGCAUCAUUCAAACUCUUACUUGCAUAGUAGAUCACAUGAAAUACCUUAUUCCUUCGUUGAACCAACAUGGCUCCCACAGCAUAAUCACUGGCGUCACACAUUAAUUCAAAUGAUAGAUUCCAAUCCGGUGUGAUAAUUACAGGUGCUGAAGUCAACUUCUCUUUCAAAGUGUUAAAGGCCUGCAGACACUCAUCAUUAAACUCAAAUGUGGACUCCUUCAUCAGUAAACAGCACAGAGGUUUGGUAAUUUUUGAAAAAUCCUUGAUAAACCUUCUGUAGAAUCCAGCGUGCCCAAGAAAACUGCGAACACCCUUCACUGAGGUAGGUGGUGGUAAAUUCUCGAUCACCUGAAUCUUUGCCCUGUCCACUUCAAUACCCUUUGCUGAAAUUUUGUGCCCUAGUACGAUGCCUUCUUGCACCAUAAAGUGACAUUUCUCCCAAUUCAACACCAAGUUGGUCUCUGUACACCAUUGUAGCACAAGACUUAGAUGCUCCAGGCACUCAUCAAAUGAAGAUCCAAACACAGAGAAGUCAUCCAUGAAUACCUCGAUGAAUUUCUCAAUCAUGUUUGAGAAAAUAGCCAUCAUGCAGCGCUGAAAGGUAGCGAGAGCGUUGCAUAAUCCAAAUGGCAUCCUUCUGUAUGCAAAGGUGCCAUAGGGGCAAGUGAAGGUGGUCUUCUCCUGAUCGUCUGGUGCCACUGGAAUCUGAUUAUACCCGGAGUACCCAUCUAGGAAACAGUAGUGCGAAUGCCCUGCUAAUCUCUCCAACAUCUGAUCAAUGAACGGUAAUGGAAAGUGAUCCUUUCGAGUAGCUGAGUUAAGUUUACAGUAGUCAAUGCACACUCUCCAUCCAAUCACUGUCCGUGUAGGAAUCAACUCAUUUCUCUCAUUUUCUAUUACUGUGAUUCCUCCUUUCUUGGGAACAACUUGCACUGCACUGAUCCAUGCACUAUCUGAUAUUGGAUAAAUAAUGCCUGCAUCGAGCAACUUCAAUACCUCAGCUCUAACCACUUCCUUCAUGUGUGGAUUCAAUCUCCGCUGCCCAUCAAUGCUUGGUUUAAAUUUUUCCUCCAUGAGUAUCUUAUGCAUGCAUAUAGAUGGGCUGAUCCCCUUUAUAUCUGCAAUCGACCAUCCAAUAGCUGUUUUAUUCUCCCUUAACACCCGAAGUAGUUUCUCUUCCUCUACCUCACUGACAGUGUUUGAAAUAAUAACAGGUAGUGUAGAAGAUUCCCCCAGGUAUGCAUACGAAGAUGUGGUGGCAGUUGUUUGAGUUCCAAUUUGGGCAGUUUCACAAUAGAUGACACUGAUUUUGCAGUUCUAGUUCCCAGCUCUUCAUAGUAGCGUCUGCGCAUAUAUGGCUGGUUACUCUCCAAAAAUCGAGCACAUGUCUCAAUCUCACUUGAUUCAGAAUGGGCGGAUUGUGAAUGUGCAAUGCAUGCCUCAUAUGCAUCGGAAAGAUGAUGUAGCCGAAAUGUGUCUUGAACUAUUCGGUCGACUACAUCGAUCUGGAAACAACUGUCUGCCUCAGUAGGGAAUUUCAUUGCUUUGAACACGUUGAAUGAGAUUAGCUCGUCACCAAGCCUUAAUAUCAGCUGCCCCUUCUGAACAUCUACAAUUGCUCUCCCAGUGGCUAAGAAAGGUCGCCCCAAAAUGAGUGGAACAUCUUUAUCUUCUUCCAUGUCCAAGAUAAGAAAAUCAGCUGGAAAUAUGAACUUCUCCACUUUUACCAGCACGUCUUCAAUGAUUCCUCUUGGAUGUGUAAGGGAUCGAUCUGCUAACUGCAAUGUCACUGUUGUGGCUUUUGCUUCUCCCAAGCCGAGUUUCCUGAAAAUAGAAAGAGGCAUUAGAUUAAUACUUGCACCCAAAUCACACAAAGCUUUAUCAAAAUAACAGUCUCCAAUAGUGCAGGGUACAGUAAAACUCCCUGGAUCUUUCAGUUUUGGGGGUGGCUUUCUCUGGAUUCUGGCGCUGUAUUCCUCAGUCAACAUUACUGUUUCGUGUUUUUCUAUCUUUUGCUUGUUGGAGAGGAUAUCCUUCAAGAAUUUUGCAUAGCUCGGCAUCUGGACAAGUGCUUCAGCAAAUGGGAUGUUGAUAUGCAGUUUCUUGAAGACUUCAAGGAACUUACUGUAUUGCUAAUCCAUUUUGUGCUUUCUCGACCUUUGUGGAAACGGAAUAGGAGGCUCAUGAGGGUUAACAGGAUUAGUAUUUUUACCCUGUGAUGUCUUGGAGUUCCUCUUAACCUCAUCUUCUGUUGCAUUGUCAGUUUGCUCCACACUUUCUUCCUCCAAGGUUGGCAUUGAUUCCUUGUUGGCUCCCGAACUUGUUACAUGUGGUUCCGGUAGUUGUACUCCACUUCUGGUUGUUAUAGCCUUUGCAUGUUCCUUAGGGUUAACUUCAGUAUUGCUGGAUAGGUUUCCCGGUGCUCUACCCGUCAUGGAAAUUGCUAUNNNNNNNNNNNNNNNNNNNNNNNNNNNNNNNNNNNNNNNNNNNNNNNNNNNNNNNNNNNNNNNNNNNNNNNNNNNNNNNNNNNNNNNNNNNNNNNNNNNNNNNNNNNNNNNNNNNNNNNNNNNNNNNGAACAUAUCCUCCAAAUUUGGCUUUUUGUCUUGCUGCUGAUAUUGCCCUUGUGGUCUAUUUUGAUUCUGGUUGCUCCAAGAGAAAUUUGGGUGUUUUCUCCAGCCUUGAUUGAAGGUUUCUGAAUGUGGGUUAUUCUGCUGGCGCUGACCCCAUUGUGCGAAUUCUGNNNNNNNNNNNNNNNNNNNNNNNNNNNNNNNNNNNNNNNNNNNNNNNNNNNNNNNNNNNNNNNNNNNNNNNNNNNNNNNNNNNNNNNNNNNNNNNNNNNNNNNNNNNNNNNNNNNNNNNNNNNNNNNNNNNNNNNNNNNNNNNNNNNNNNNNNNNNNNNNNNNNNNNNNNNNNNNNNNNNNNNNNNNNNNNNNNNNNNNNNNNNNNNNNNNNNNNNNNNNNNNNNNNNNNNNNNNNNNNNNNNNNNNNNNNNNNNNNNNNNNNNNNNNNNNNNNNNNNNNNNNNNNNNNNNNNNNNNNNNNNNNNNNNNNNNNNNNNNNNNNNNNNNNNNNNNNNNNNNNNNNNNNNNNNNNNNNNNNNNNNNNNNNNNNNNNNNNNNNNNNNNNNNNNNNNNNNNNNNNNNNNNNNNNNNNNNNNNNNNNNNNNNNNNNNNNNNNNNNNNNNNNNNNNNNNNNNNNNNNNNNNNNNNNNNNNNNNNNNNNNNNNNNNNNNNNNNNNNNNNNNNNNNNNNNNNNNNNNNNNNNNNNNNNNNNNNNNNNNNNNNNNNNNNNNNNNNNNNNNNNNNNNNNNNNNNNNNNNNNNNNNNNNNNNNNNNNNNNNNNNNNNNNNNNNNNNNNNNNNNNNNNNNNNNNNNNNNNNNNNNNNNNNNNNNNNNNNNNNNNNNNNNNNNNNNNNNNNNNNNNNNNNNNNNNNNNNNNNNNNNNNNNNNNNNNNNNNNNNNNNNNNNNNNNNNNNNNNNNNNNNNNNNNNNNNNNNNNNNNNNNNNNNNNNNNNNNNNNNNNNNNNNNNNNNNNNNNNNNNNNNNNNNNNNNNNNNNNNNNNNNNNNNNNNNNNNNNNNNNNNNNNNNNNNNNNNNNNNNNNNNNNNNNNNNNNNNNNNNNNNNNNNNNNNNNNNNNNNNNNNNNNNNNNNNNNNNNNNNNNNNNNNNNNNNNNNNNNNNNNNNNNNNNNNNNNNNNNNNNNNNNNNNNNNNNNNNNNNNNNNNNNNNNNNNNNNNNNNNNNNNNNNNNCUAAUUAAACUAAUGUGACCUUAACCGAAUCUAAUUAAAUGAAAAUUUGAUUUAAAUGUGAAAAGCCCUAAUUUUGGAAGAAAUCCCCAAUUUGAAACCCUAAUUGCAAAGAAAACCCUAAUUUCAAAAUUGGAAACCCUAAUUUCGAAAUUUCACUAAUCGAAUGAAAUAAACACGCAACUGAAAUGUAAAUAUGCAAUUUUAGAACUAAUGUAUUGAAAUAAAUCGAAAUGAAAUCAUUAAGAACUCGAAUCCCCAAUUGACUAUUAAAAACUCUAAUGUCACAAAUUCAACAAAUCGAUGGAAAAAAAUGCCAAUUCAAUGUUCCUAAAUUAUCCAAUACACUCUCUCGAUAUAUAUUGAAUCUACUCUUACACACAACCAGCCUAUAUUUCUAUGGAUGAUGCAAUGUACAAGAAUGCAUGACUUUUUAUGAACAUCUUCAUGAAUUGCAUAAAGCAUAGAGGUAAGUUUCCAUCCCCUAUCGAACCCCAUGUCAAUUUAUAUUCUAUCGAAUUUAUUCCCCUUCUUUCGAAUGCAAAUAACAAAUCAUCUACAAUCACAUAACAAUUGGCCAAAUAAUUAUGGAAGCAUUCAAAUCAUAUAAAUCAAACAUUUGUCCAAUCGAAACUAUUGUUGAAUUAAUGAAAUAAUGGAAAUUUAAAUCAUCAAAAGGUUCAUCAAAUUCCUAAUGAACAAAAACCCUAGCCUAUAAUCAUCAUUACAAAAUCAAGAAAUUGAAAAACGAAAUAAAAAGAUAAUAAGAACACACCCGUAUGGAAUUUCUUCAAUCCGUGUGUAUAAUCUUCAAUCCCGUCUCGAACCCGUGCGAAAUUGAAUCCAAAAUCAAGUUUCUUGCCUCCAAUUUUGGUCUCUCCCUUCUCCCUGGCCGUCCCUUCUCCCUGGUCGUUCCUUCCCUUAAUAUGAUGAAUUUGGGUAUUUAUAUCACGUCCAAAUUAAGUAGGAAAGGAGUUUCAACCAAAACGAAAAACUACGCCCGAAGUUUCAAAACUUAACUAUGCGACCGCAUAGAAGGGAUCUAUGCGGUCGCAUAGAUCAUUUUUUUGGCUCAUUGAAUUCCCUGAAACCUUCUAUGUGACCGCAUAGAAGGUUACACUAUGCGGUCGCAUAGAAGUAGCCAUCUAUGUGGUUCGUGCAAUUUGGUCCCUGAACUUCUUUGUUGCUUCUCUUUACUUCUUUCUUCGAUUUCUUCAUCUUUUCAACAAUUCUUAUCUUCCAAUUGAUGAUCGACACUUUCAAAUAUUAUGCCACUCAUUUGGCACAUCUUUUGAGUAUUUGCACUUUAGUCCUCCAACUUUCAAUUAUCUUCAUUUUAGUCCAUCUUCCAUUCUUUCUUCCUCCACUUGUUUUGCUUUGUCAUUGAGCUCAUAUUCGGCAUGUUUUUACUCUCGUUCUGCGUUUAGCUCAACUUCUCAAUAAUUGCACUGUUGGUCUUUGAACUAUCAAAUUGUUGCGUUUUGGUCCUUCUUCGGCUCUUUUCUCCUGAAUUCCACAAUUUCCAUUGAAUUACCUACAAUGCAUGAAUUUAACUGGAUUAAGUCACAAUUCAACCAUUUUAUCCAUGUUUAAGUCAUGUUUGUGAACCAAAUAAGUGUGUAAAAACACACUUAUCAGGUAUGUUCCGUUCCAGUACAACUUAGUCCCUCAAACAUUUAUCAAUGCAAUAGCUGGCGCCUUGCAUUUUCCUAGCUCGACCAAAAAAAUUAAGCUCAAACCGAGCAGAAUAGGCUCUCUUUUUUUUGCCCCCUUUUUUAAAGUAAAUUGAAGGCAACAUUUAUCCCAACUACAACUGCUUAUUAAGGGAGCAUUGUGCUCCUGCCUUUUAAGGCUGUCAUCCGUGCUGCCUUAAGAGGUAGUCGAGUGGGGCCUUUCCUUUUUUCUAUAAACGGUCGGUGAGCCUCGUACUCCUAAAAUGGGGCCCGGCCCGAGCCUCGAGCCGACAAAUCGAAUUGCCGUCCCUAUAAUUUCCAUGUGCAGUACCUCAUUGGACACCACUUUCUUGGUGUGACUACAAAAUUCACAAUAAAAUAAUAUCCUUUUUAGAAUUGGUAUGCUAUAACUCAGUGCAAUUGUAGUUUAGAAAAGGAUUUGUAGAUAAUCAAAUUUAGACAAUACAUCUAAAUAACUUUCUUUGACCGACCAAAAGUCUUAACUUUCUCAUAGGACAUCUAAUUUCAUAGAAACAAUGUGUGUGUGAUAAUUCUUUCAGCUUUACAUAACUAGUUCCUACCAUGUUUUCUCCAUUGGUAAGAUCACAAGGAACUUAAACUUCCACCCGAGUGCCUUGAGCAUUUUCCAAUAAAUCAUAUCCCUUCACAAAGAUUCCCUGAGCAUUUUCCCACUAUUAGAAAUAAUAAUUUACCAAUAGAAACUUAGUAUGCUUUAUUUACAAUCUCAUAAUCCCAAUUAGGGUUACUAACAACUUAUACUCCUUUAUAUAAAUUAGUUUAACACCAAAUCCCUAAUAUUUACACUUAAUUUGGUUUCCAAAAUAAAAUAUCCAAGAAAAUCAAAUAAUUGACAAAACUAGCACUAUAUUUCCACACUAUUGAAAUGUGACACCAAUAUCUGUUUAUUGAAAACUGUCUGCAACCCAUUGACAGAAACAGUACUUUAUAGACAGAAUUUUAGAAACAGUACUUGUACAUGAAUUUUGCACGAAAAUUGGUUAAAAAUUCCAAAAUCCAACCUCAAAUCUAUAUCUUAAUGUAGUACAUCAUAAUUCAAGCAUUUUAUAUCAUAUACACACAAAAAAAUAAAUAAAUCAAUGAUUCAACUCUAAUUUACAAACCACUUCACAUUUUUUGUACUUCAACACCACUAUUUUCAUAUACAUUUUUCUUUGCAAUAAUAUUCUUGAAUACCUCAAAUUCAUCUUAAUAACCUUUAAUUUUUGCUAAAAUUCAAACAUCGAAAAUUGUUCACAAAACCUAAAAUCAAAUAUCAUCCUUCAAUAAGUAAAUAUUUUGCUUACCUUGAGGAAGAAAUUGGAGAAUAAAGGACCCCGGCUUGAAAACCUAUUUUUCUUUUUCUUCUUCUUUCUUUCUCUUUCUUUCCUUUUCUUCUCUUGAUUUUUCCCUUUCUCGAUUUCUUUCUCUUCUUCGAGUUUCUUCCUUUGUAAAAUGUAUCAUUUUCAGGGUUAUUUUGAAAUUAGGCAAGUUAAAAUGCUAUUUUUUCACUUUGACCAAAAAUUUUUGCCAAUAAAUCAUAUCCCUUCACAAAGAUUCCCUGAACAUUUCCCACUAUUAGAAAUAAUAAUUUACCAAUAAAAACUUGGUAUGUUUUAUUUACAAUCUCAUGAUCCCAAUUAGGGUUACUAACAACUUAUACUCCUUUAUAUAAAUUAUUUUAACACCUAAUCCCUAAUAUUUACACUUAAUUUGGUUUCCAAAAUAAAAUAUCCAAGAAAAUCAAAUAAUUGACAAAACUAGCACUAUAUUUCCGUACUAUUGAAAUGUGACACCAAUAUCUGUUUAUGGAAAACUGUCUCCAACCCAUUGACAGAAACAGUACUUUAUGGACAGAAUUUUAGAAAUGGUACUUGUACAUGAAUUUUGCACGAAAAUUGGUUAAAAAUUCCAAAAUCCAACCUCAAAUCUAUAUCUUAAUUUUGUACAUCAUAAUUCAAGUAUUUUAUAUCAUAUACACAAAAAAAUAAUAAAAUAAAAUAAAAUCAAAGAUUCAACUCUAAUUUACAAACCACUUCACAUUUUUUGUACUUCAACACCACUAUUUUCUUAUACAUUUUUCUUUGCAAUAAUAUUCUUGAAUACCUCAAAUUCAUCUUAAUAACCUUUAAUUUUUGCUAAAAUUCAAACAUCGAAAAUUGUUCACAAAACCUAAAAUCAAAUAUCAUCCUUCAAUAAGUAAAUAUUUUGCUUACCUUGAGGAAGAAAUUGGAGAAUAAAGGACCCCGGCUUGAAAACCUAUUUUUCUUUUUCUUCUCCUUUCUUUCUCUUUCUUUCCUUUUCUUCUCUUGAUUUUUCCCUUUCCCGAUUUCUUUCUCUUCUUCAAGUUUCUUCCUUUGUAAAAUGAAUCAUUUUUUGGUGUACUUUUGAAAUUAGGCAAGUCAAAAUACCAUUUUUCCACUUUGAUAAAAAAAAUUUGCCAAUCUUCAAAAUGGCCAUUUGUUGAGUAAAAGACAAAAAUAUCCUUAAAUAGUUUUUACAAUUACAAAGAUAGAAUUUUGUUUAAAAAAACAAAAAAUACCCUUAAGUUACAAAUUAAAAAACCAAACACUUUUCACUUUAUAUUUAAUUGUUUAUUUCAAACACUUACUCAAAUAAAAAAAAAAAACUUAAUAUUUAAUUUACUUUCUUGUUUAAAUAUUUCAUUAAUUAAUUAUCUUAAUCGGUUAUGUAUAAUUUAUUUAAUAUUUAAUUAAUCUAUUUAAUUAUUUAUUUAAUCACUUUUUUAAAUGAAAAAAUUAAUAUUUAAUUUGAUUUCUCAUUUAAAUAUUUCAUUAACUAAUUAUCUUAAUUGAUAUAUGUAUAUUUAAUUAAUUAAUUAAUUAUAUAUUUUAAACACUUACUCAAAUAAAAAAAUUUAUAUUUAAUUUGGUUUCUCUUUUAAACAUUUCAUUAAUUAAUUAUCUUAAUUGGUCCUUAUUUAAUUAUUUAUUUUGAACACUUACUCAAAUAAAAAAAUUAAUAUUUUAUUUGGUUUCUCUUUUAAAUAUUUCUUUAUUAAUUACCUUAAUUGGUUAUGUAUAUUGUUCAUUUAAUAUUUAAUUACUUUAUUUAAUUAUUUAUUUAAUCACUUAUUUGAAUAAAAAAUUAAUAUUUACUUUAAUUUCUUAUUUAGAUAUUUUUUAAUUAAUUGUCUUAAUUAGCUAUGUAUAUUAUUUAUUUAUUGUUCAAUUAUUUAUUUAAUCACUUAAUUAAAUAAAAAAUUAAUAUUUAAUUUAAUUUCUUAUUUAGAUAUUUUUUAAUUAAUUGUCUUAAUUAGCUAUGUAUAUUAUUUAUUUAUUGUUCAAUUAUUUAUUUAAUCACUUAUUUAAAUAAAAGAAUUAAUAUUUAUUUUAAUUCUUAUUUAAAUAUUUCAUUAAUUAAUUAUCUUAAUUAGUUAUGUAUAUUCUUUAUUUAAUAUUUAAUUACUUUGUUUAGUUAUUUAUUUAAUCACUUAAUUAAAUGAAAAAAUAAUAUUUAAUUUAAUUUCUUAUUUAGAUAUUUCAGUAAUUAAUUAUCUUAAUUGGUUAUGUCUAUUAUUAGUAAUUAAUAUUUAAUUAAUUUAUUUUAGUUACUUAUUUAAAUAAAAAUAUUGUACCAUAAUGCACAAGUGUCAUAACAUUAUUGGAGAUUUGAAAAACAGUUUUUUCGAUCCUCCACUCAUGGAAUUUCACAUGUACAAUAUGGAUAUCCUUAUGAAUUAGUACAUCUAGAAUUAUCCAAUAUUUAAUUUGAUUUCUCGUUUAAAUAUUUUUUUAGUAAUUACCUUAAUUGGUUAUGUAUAUUUAAUUACUUUAUUUAUUUAUUUAUUUAUUUUAAACACUUACUCAAAUAAAAAAUUAAUAUUUAAUUUAGUUUCUUCUUUAAAUAUUUCAUUAAUUAAUUAUCUUAAUUUGUUCUGUAUAUUGUUUAUUUAAUAUUUCAUUACUUUAUUUAAUCACUUAUUCGAAUAGAAAAUUAAUAUUUAAUUUAAUUUAUUCUUUAAAUAUCUCAUUAGUUAAUUAUCUUGAUUGGUUAUGUAUAUUAUUUAUUUAAUAUUUAAUUAGAACAUAUAUCACACGGUGUAUAAAAAUAUCUAACAGAGAUGGGAGUCGAACUUUAGGCACAGUCACAUUUUCAAUACAUUGAAUAUUAUUCAAAAAUGUCGAAACUAUAUUUCCUCUACCAAAUGAAGUCGAGUGAGAAGUUCCCGAUUAUAGUAUGUUACUCUCUAUUCAACGGAUGUGUAAUAUCUAUUUAAAUCGUAUGUACUCUCUAUUUAUAGUGUGUUACUGAUUUUCUCAAUUUUCUUUAUUUAUAGUGUGUUAUAUAUUUAAUUAAGAGUAAUUAGUUAUCUAUUAUACAAUUACAUAACAACUAAAGUAAUACAAAUGUUUUCAAAAAAAUACUUACAUUUGAAAUUAUUACAAUUACGGAUCACAAUGUACAUAAAAGAACACUUGCAUUUUAAUAUGUGUUUAAUUUAUUAACUCUACGCCACGUUCAAUGCUAAAAAUUCAAUGUACUUCAAUUAGGACUGUCAAUAGAUUGAAUUUUGAUCCGAAUCCGAUGAAAUUAAUGGGAGAUCAAUUUCACGGAAGAGGUUGGGCAACGUACCGUCAACAGAUGUUCUCUUCUUUGCCUCAAUCGUGUAUGGAGAAACAAUGUAUUGUGACAACAAUUUAGUCCUCUUGCUAAUCAUUUGCUCUGGCAUAUAAUAUGUUUCGUAGAGGGUGCCAUCCAAACUCGCGACAUUAUCUGUCAAAUUGGAGGGUCCUCUCCGACAUAGUUAUGUAUAUUAUUUAUUUAAUAUUUAAUUAGGUUAUUUAAUUAUUUGUUUAAUCACUUAAUUAAAUAAAAAAUUAGUAUUUAAUUUAAUUUCUUAUUUAGAUAUUUCAUUUAUAAAUUAUCUUAAUUGGUUGUGUGUAUCAUGUAUUUAAUAUUUCAUUAUCUUAUUUAAAUAAAUUUUACAAUAUAUAAAGUUAUUUCAUAAAUAAAUAAAAAAUAUACAAUUAUUACAAUUAUUUUGUCCCCACCACUGGCACCUCUUUCAUCUCCACUGACAUCCAUAACGAUUCUAAUGAAACAUCUGUGUACAUCCCCACCCCCUCAACCGUCACCCUCCCUGUCAUUAUCUCCGUUACUCUCUGUCACUGUCUAGGACCCCUAUCGCCUGCAUACUGUAUCUCCUCGGAUAUGACUCUGACCGUCCUCCUCGAUCAACGGUGUCAGCUCAAUGAGCAAUUCAAGCUGACAUAUUAACAUUUCACCGAGUUAAUGACCAUAUAUCGAGAUUUCGAAAUGACGUACAACAUAAAUCACAAAUGAAUAAUAUGUAUCUCAGAAUCGUUGAGGAGAGCUUAUAACUGUUAGCUUUGUCCUCAUGGAUAGUUGUUGAAGUGUCAAUAUCAUCAACAACCUCCAAAUGAAAGGUGUCGAUCGACGUUUUCUUGUGAUGAUACCUCAGUAUGCUCUCUAGUAUAAACACCAUCCCCAAUUUCAGCUUGUCAAACAUAUCAUCUCAUUCCUUGAAUACAUCUCCUAACUGUGCCAGAGUUAUCGUCAUAAGUAGGAUCGGUGUAACAGGUCUGCGUGCUCCUCAUCCAACAAAUCUAGGACUAAUGCAAAGCUGAAAAAGUUAUAGGUCGACGUAACUUUAUCGAAAAUUUGUCUCAUAGCAGCGUCCAAAUGGUAAUCCAUCUUGUAAAAUUUAAAAUAUUUAUAUUUCUUUGUUAUAUAUGUCAACUAAUUAUUUUUAUUGCUUAAUUAACAUUUAAGUUACUUGUUUAUUGAAUUUAUUUCAAUUAGUUAUUUAUUAUUUCAAUUAAUUAUUUAAUUGUUUUACUAAUAUUUAUUUAAUUUAUUUUAAUUAGUUAGUUAUUACUUAUUAAAUAAACAAUAAACAUAAAUAAUUAACAUAAUUCAUGAAAUAUUUAAAUAAAAAAUCAAGUAUAAAAUGAAUAAUUAUAUAUUAAACAAAUAAUAUACAUAAACAAUUAAAGUAAUUACUUAAAUAUUUAAAAAAAUAUUAAAUUAAAUAUUGAUUUAUUAAAUUACUUAUUAAAUAUUUAAAUUAUUUUUUUAUUUAAAUAUCUCAUUAAUUAUUUUAAUUGGUUAUGUAUAUUAUUUGUUUAAUAUUUAAUUACUCUAUUUAAUUAUUUAUUUUAAUAGUUUAUUUCAUAUUUAUUUAAUUCAUUUAAUUAUUUAUAUUAGUUUCUCAUUUAUUUUAAUUGUUUAUUGAAUAUUCAAUUAUGCUGUGAAACUGGUAAAGUUACAGUUCAACAUAAUUUUGUCAGGAAUCUGUUUCAAGGCGGCGUCCAAAUGGUAAUCCAUCAUAUAAAAUUUUAAAUAUUAGAACAUUUGAAACAUAAUGUCACAAAAUUCAACUAAAUGAACUGUAAAUAAUAUACGUAUGAAAUAAAAGAUAAUAAAGAAAAUGAAUUACAAAAUUAGACAACAAAUUAUAAAAAGUGAAAAAUUAAUUUUUGUAAAAUUAUUUAUUUCAUAGUUCAUUUUAAUUCUUUAUUAUUUAUUUCAAUUUCUUAUUUAAUUAAUUUUGAUUAUUUAUAUUUAAUUACUUAUUUAAAUAAAUUAUUUUGAAUAUUUAUAUUUCUUAUUUAAAUAUAUUACUUAUUUAAAUAAAUUAUUUUGAAUAUUUAUUUCAAUUAAAUUUUAAUUACAUAUUAUGAUUAUUAACUUUUAUUCGUUAUUAACAUUUUUUAUUUAUCAUUUAAACAAUCAUUUAAUUAUUAUUUCAAUGUUCAUUAUUUAUUUUGUGCAUUUCAAUUAAUUAUUUAUUCCAAUUUUUUUCAUUUAUUUGUUUCAAUUGUUCAUUUAAAUUAUUUGAUUUAAUUAUUUAUAUUGAUUGAUUAUUUAAAUUAUUUAUUGAACAAAUAAACAUAAAUAUUUAAUUUUUAUUUUAAAUGUUAGAAAUUUAUUUCAGUUAAAUUUUAAUUACAUAUUUUGAUUAUUAACAUUUAUUCAUUAUUUAUUUUUCAUUUAUCAUUUAAAUAAUAAUUUAAUUAUUAUUUAAAUGUUCAUUAUUUAUUUUUGUGCAUUUAAAUUAAUUAUUUAUUCCAAUUAUUUUUCAUUUAUUUGAUUCAAUUGUUCAUUUAAAUUAUUUGAUUUAAUUAUUUAUAUUGAUUGAUUUUUAAAUUAUUUAUUAAACAAGUAAACGUAAAUAUUUAAUUAUUUAUUUUAAAUGUUGGAAAUUUAUUUCAAUUAAAUUUUAAUUACAUAUUUUGAUUAUUAACAUUUACUCAUUAUUUAAAAUUUUCAUUUAUCAUUUAUUUAAUCAUUUAAUUAUUAUUUAAAUGUUCAUUAUUUAUUUUUGUGCAUUUAAAUUAAUUAUUUAUUCCAAUUAUUUUUCAUUUAUUUGUUUAAAUUGUUCAUUUAAAUUGUUUGAUUUAAUUAUUUAUAUUGAUUGAUUAUUUAAAUUAUUUAUUGAAGAAGUAAACGUAAAUAUUUAGUUAUUUAUUUUAAAUGUUGGAAAUUUAUUUCAAUUAAAUUUUAAUUACAUAUUUUGAUUAUUAACAUUUAUUCAUUAUUUAUAUUUUUUAUUUAUCAUUUAAAUAAUUAUUUAUUUUAUUAUUUAAAUGUUCAUUAUUUAUUUUUGUGUAUUUAAAUUAUUUAUGGAAUACAAUGACAAAAAGUGUAGAAAUUGAAAUUAAACAAGGACUAGCUAGUAUUGUCACGUUCUUCACGACGUCGGCUGCAUUGAAUAGAAAGGACCAUUUUUCGAACAUUUAUAUUAUAUUUAUUUUAUUAUGUUUGAGCCCCAUUAUUCAAAUUUUUUGCCAAUUUCAUUUCUUCAUUGUGGCUUUUGGGUCGUCUUUUCCGGACAGCUCGGACGUCUGGGCCGUCUGGUCAUCCUCUCCUCAUUUUCUUCUCAGGUCCAGGUGCCGGAGAUCGUCAUUUCGAUCCAAAAACACCUCAAAAAAUGUCAUUUUCAGUAAUUUUACAUAAUCUACAAAGAUUUCUACCAUUAUUUCCAACAAAAUUUCUUCCCCUUCUUUUUCAGAUGUCGGUUUGAAAGUGAUUUGUUAGGGGCAAUAUUGAGUUUUCAUUGUUUUUAAGAUUUUUAUAGAUUUUUCAAUUUUUUUUUCUUUUUUCAAACAGUAGUGAACGACAAUUUUGAAAAAAAAUGUCUUUUUUUUUUGUGGCUAUCUGCCACCAUUUCCUCAUCAUUUUCCUUUCAUUUUUAAUAGAUUAAUAUAGUGUAAUUUCAAGUCAAGUCCUUAAUCUUCUUAAAAUAUAACUUUUAGUCAUCUCAUUUAUCAUAUUAAAAAUUAAUUCCCAAGAUUCCUUUUUAUAUCAUUUCUGGCCCUUUGAGUAUCAUUAAUUACAAAUUAGACCUCAUAAAAAUCAUUUAUUCAACUUAAAGUCGUUAUUUGGUUUUGACUUUGACCAACCGAAUUACUUGACUUUGACUAAAUUAUUCUUGACUUUGACUACAAAUGAGUGGAGUGUAACAGAUAAAAAAUCUUCAAUUCUAAGUAAAUUAUUGCAAAACCUGGGAUCUAAAACUUUUUAAAUCCUUUAUGCCUCAAAUUCUCAUUUGCUCUAUAAUUCUCAUUUUGCGAAAAUAUUUUCCCUCUACAGCUUGUGGAGAUGCAGCUUUUGUGUUAAUCAUUUAUAGCGUUUGUAAGAGGCCAAAGCAGAUGAAAUGGAUUGUGGGUGGGUCUAAAAGCUAUUAUAAUGGAUUGUGGAUUGGAUUAAUUAUUUUAAGGGAAAAUUUCAUAAGUGAGAAAUUAAGUAUGGUAUAUUUCAAAAUUAAGAAAAUAAGUUUUAAAAUUCAAAAAUCAGAUUUUUAUUUAAAUUUAUUUAUGAUUUAAUUAUUUUAUUAAUUUAAUAUAUUUUGGUCACGAAUUAACAAUUUAAUUACUAAUUUAUUAUUUUUUGGUCACAAAUCAAAAAUGCCACAAAUUAUUUUAUGAUCACAAUUCAAAAAUUUUGAAGGUCACAGUUUGUUUAUCGAUCACAAAUCCAAAAAUUAAUUAGUCACGGAUUAAUUUCUAGUCACAACUUAUCAAUUUAUUAGUCACAACUUAUUUUUCGGUCACAAAUAAAAAAUUUUAUAGGUCACAUAUUUUUUUCGGUCACGAAUAAAAUUUUUUAUAGGUCAAAAAUUAUUCGUCAGUCACAAAAUCAAAACUUUAAUUGGUCACAACUCAUAUAUUCGUUUCAAAUUAUUAGAUUAAUUGGUCACGAUUAAUUUUUAGUCACAACUUAUCAAUUUAUUGGUCACAACUUUUUUUUGGUCACAAAUAAAAAAUUUCAUAGGUCACAUAUUCUUUUUGGGUCACGAAUAAUUUUUUUUAUAGAUCACAGAUUAUUCAUUGGUCACGGAAUCAAUUUUUAUUGGUCACAACUCAUUUAUUCAUUGCAAAUUAUCAAAUUAAUUGGUCACGAUUAAUUUCAUCACUCACAAAUUCAGUCACAGUUUAUUUGUAUGUCAUAAAUUUUCAAAUUAAUUGAUCACAAAUUAUUUUUAGUUACAAAUUAUAGAAUAUUUAGGUUACAAUUAAUUAGUUGAUCAUGAAUAAUUAAAUGGUUGGUCACAAACCGUCGCCACCAUCGUCGUCAAAAAAUACCACCACAUUGCCAACCACGACAACCACACAACACACAAACGCAAAAAUCAACCAAAAUAAUGUCAUCACACAACCAGACUUGGACUUUGCAACAACCUUAACGGAUCGCUGCAGCACCAACACACUUGACACCGCACACGUGACCACCACCGUCACCACUACCAAACCACCUCAAAAAACUACCACAAAAUCCACCUCAAAACCACCUCUGACCACCGCUAGCACCUUCACCCACCACUGCGUGAACCAUAACCCCGCCACAACCACAAUCAACAUAGCCCAACAACAAAACACAAACUCACCCCCAACCCAACACAAAUGCAUCGCGAUAAAGAAAUAAAUGAAUUGCAGAAAGCAAGAAAUCGAAAUCACAAAUCUGGAAUCGAAAUCACAAAUCUGAAAGUUUAAUUUUUGAAUUAUUAAUUAAGAUAAUAUCACAAAUCACCACCGGCCACUCCCCCAGAUUCGACACCCACCAUCGCACCUCACUGUCAGAUGAACCAUCAAUCACCACCAGCAGUAGAUCUGACACUGCCAGCCGCCACCACCAGCAGAGGCACUGCUACAGAUUCUGACAACAGUACUCGCCGUCGCCGUCUUGCUGCUCGUAGUGCCUCGCCAUCUACAUUAGCAACCGGAUGAGGAAGACUCAACGAACGACUGCUGCCUUGCCGCCGCCAGUGAGGGUGAUUCCCGAACGGAUGACGGUGGAGAAGGAGAGAAGAAUGGAAACUGUGGAAAGGCUGCUGGUGGUGACACUUGCUCCACUGCGAUGACUUCAUCGUCAUAGUGUCGCCGGAGUGAUUGAUUGGUCGCUGGAGAAAAAAUAAAAUUGGGGAAACGAGAGAGUGAAUGAAUUAUCUCAGAUUAAUUGAUUUAUUAGAGAAAAAAUGUAGAGAGAGAGAGAGAGAGAGAAAAUAAGUGAAAAAAUUAGGGUUUUCUGAUUUUUGAAUAAUAAAACUUUCCAUCUGAUUUUGGAAUGUAGAAUUUUUAAUGUAUGGUAUUGUGUAAUUUCCACUUAUUUUAAUGAGCGACAAAUGAGUUGGGUCAGAGCAUGUGAAUUGUGGGCAUAUUUAAUAAGUAUUGCAAAAGGUUAGCCUUUUGAACAAUAUAAACUAUGGUUAAUGUUUACUAAAUGCUGCCAAAGGUUACAUUUUUUGCAACCUGUAUUAAACAUUGCCAAAAGUUUAAUAUUUUACAAUAUUUAAUAAACAUUGCGAAAAGAGUAACAUUUCGUAACAGUAAAUGAACUUGUCAAAAACUAUAUAUCUAAGCAUCCGUAAUAGUCAGUGAACGUUGUUAUGGAACAAACUUUUAACAACAGCAUAUGCAAGUUGCGAAAAAUAAAACUUUUCGCAACACUCAAUAAAUGUUGUGAAAAGAUGACAUUAGCAACAUUCAUUUAAAAAAAUCUCAAUUAUAUUUACCAAUGGCAACAUUCAUUUUUAGAAUGUUGUGAUAGAGACCUUUAGCAACAUUCAAAUAACAAAUUUUGCCUUUUAUGUGUUGGGAAAGGUAUUUUUUGUUGUAGUAUACAAAGAUUGACUCAUGACCAAUGUUUCUUUGAAAUACCUGAAAUCGGUUAUAAGGAAACAUAUUCUUCCAUAAUGGACACCAUAUCAUUUAAAUUUUUAAUUACUCUAGUUGUAUCAUAAAGGCUUGAAGCACACCUUAUGGAUUUAGCAAUGAUCUAUUUGUAUAGUUCAUUUAAUAGUGAUAUUUACAUGAAAAUUCCUAAAGGAUUGAAAGUGACACCAAAAAAAUGAUACAAGCCUCAAAAUUAUGUUCUCUAUUAAAUUGUAAAGAUUAUUAUACGAAUUAAAACAAUACGUACGUAAAUGGUAUAAUUGUCUUAACGAAUUUUUGUUGAAAAAUGGUUACAAAAUUAAUGAUAUCUACCAAUGAUUUUUUUUACAAAGAAACAUUGAAUUUGUAAAUAUGACAAUUUAUGUUAAUAAUGUAAAUUUUACAAGAACGCUUGAAAAGUUCAACAAAACUGUAAAUUAUUUGAAAAUUGAAUUAGAGAUGAAAGAUUUUGAAAAAAUCAAGUUGUCUUAGUUUCAAAUUGAAAAUUCCACUAAAGAUUAUUUAUUCAUAAAUCUCCAUAUAUAGAAAAGUGUUAAAAUGUUUUUAUAUAGAUAAAUCGGAAACACCGAUAUUGGCAUGGUCGUUCUAUUAAUUGACAUGAAAAAUAUCCAUUUCGCCCACUUAAAAAUGAGGAAUGAAAUAUCAUAUCCUAGUAUAAAUGGAGCAUUAAUUUAUCUUAUAAAUUAUACUAGACAAGAUAUAAAUUUUUGAUAAAUAUCCCUACAAGAUAUAGCUCUAGUCACACUCAAAGACAUUAGAAUGGUAUUAAGCACAUUCUUCGUGAUUUGAAAAGUACUAUUUAUAUGAGAUUAUUCACAAAAAUUUGAGAUGUUUCUUUAGUGAGAUACGCAGAUAUAUGUUAUCUUUCCGAUCCACAAAAAGUUAAAUUACAAAUGGGAUAUGUAUUUAGACGUGAAUGAACAACUAUAUAACGAAAAUCUUUUAAGCUAAACUUGACUUAGCAUUUCAAAUCAUUGUAAUUCAAGGAACAAAUCGAGAAUGUGUAUGAAUAAGGAAAAUGAUAUAUCAUCUCCAAGCAUUCACAUUAGUUUUAAUAAAAGAUGGUCCAACAAUAUUGUAUGAAAAUAAUGUAACUUGUUUUGCACAUCUCGAAGGAAAGUAUAUCAAAUGGGACAAGACAAUGUAUAUUCUUCAAAAUUCUUCAAUACAUGGGAGCUUCAAAAGAUUGGUGACUUCAAUAUCAACAAAUUUUUCAAGUGACAAUGUAAAUGACUUAUUAACGAAAGCAUAGUUGACAUUUAUAUUCAAGAAGCUGGAAAAUGAAAUAGGAAUGCCUAGAUUCAAAGAUCUACGAUAAUCAAUAUCAAGGGAGUAGAUGUACUAUUUUUUCUUCGCUCGAAUUUUGUUCUAUUUAAUUUUCUUAAAAAUAUUUAGUGAGGCAACAUUUUUUAUGAUACUUCAAAAUAAUUAUAUAUAUAUUUUUAAUAAUCCAAAAUAAUUUUAAUUUUUCUUUGUUUAAUAUUUUUGUAGCUUUGAUUUUUUAUCAAAUAAGGAUUUAACUAGACAAAUAUUUUGUAAAUAGUCAUUAAAGGGACAUUGUUGUAAAAUUAAUAUUAGUUAUUGAAUGAUUAUUAUAUGGGUAAUUAUAUUCACCCCACAAUUUUUAUUUCUUGUACCACAUUUUAAUUGCACUUAAGGUUUAUAAUCUAUGCUCACUAUAUCACCUAUAUCCUUAACAAUUUUACAUGUCAUUCUUAUCCUCAAAAUUUUCAUUAGUUAACACAUUUUGUAUUUAAUAAUAGUUUUAUGUCUAAAAGUCCGUUGAAAUGACAUGAAACAAUUUAUUUUCCCAUUAUAUUUUUGAAAAAAUUAAAAAAAGUACGAAUUUUUUUUCCCUCAUUUCAAAUUAUGAAAACAAAAUAAUUUGAUAUAACACAUCAUCAAGGUUGAGAUGUACCAAUUAAUGAAAUGUUGAAGAUGAGAAUUCGAUGGAAAAAGUUAAGGAAAUAAUUGAUAUAAUGAGCAUUUUAAUUGCAAUUAAAAUGUGAUGCAUUAAUAAAAAUUAUGGUGGGAAUAUAACCACCUUUAUUAUAUAUUUGUAAUGUUAAUUAGGAAAAAUUAUAGCAACGGUCUCUAACCUUUUCAUUGUUUACAGACUUUACUCUAACCUUUAUUUUGUGCUAGCGAAGAUCCCUAAACUUUCAUAAAUAUACACCUAAGGUCCAUCUGGACGGAAAUCUUUCAAAACACUGUCAGUUGACUGAAAAAUUCCUUGAAUUAUUUGCUACCGUGACGAUUUUAUUGGAUGUUGAUACAUUUUUGAACGGUGUAUUGAUGAUUUUAUAGGAUGUCGGUAUUUUGGACGGUUUCCGUUUAAAUGGACCUCAAGUGCAUAUUUAUGAAAGGUUAGAAACCUCUGCUGGUACAAAAUGAAGAUUAGAGUAAAGUCUGUAAAAAAUGAAAAAGGUUAGGGACUGUUGCUGCAAUUUUCCCUCCUAAUCAUUAUAACUAUUGUAACCCUACAAUUUCAAGUUUUACCUAUGAAUAUAGGACUUUUCCUUUCCAAAUAUACAAAAAUCUAUUGACUUACUCUAUUAGUAAUAUUAUAAAAUAAUUUUUGUUAUAUUUGCCACAUGAGUAGGGGUCUCAAUUUGACUUGCCGCCUUGGACCGUCCAUGGCUCGGCCCAAAAAAAAAACCUGAGCCGAUCAAGCUUGAAGCUUAGGCAGAGCCCCAUUUUGAGAUGUCGGCCCGAUUCAGAGCCAGCCGUAUGGCUCGACGAGCCACAUGGACUGGCUUGUGUCAGGGGCCAUUUUCCAUUUUCGGCUCGUGACUAGCUGAUCCUAAUAAAAAAAAGUUAAAGAAAGAAGCUAUAGUCUCCUGCCCACAAAAGGCAGCAGGCAGUAGUUGUCACGUUGCCUUUUUUUUUUUUUUAAUUUAUUAAAAUAAGUAAAUGGCCCGGCUUAGCCAUAUAAGACUCAAGCCAAAAGUUCAAGUCGAGUUUAGAUUUUUUGGCCUAGCAAAAAUUUGACUCGGGCAAAAAAAAGCUCAAACCAUUUUGACUCGGGCUAAAUCUAAGCCUCAAGUUUCGGCUUACGAGCCAGAUCGGCUCAUUAACAUCUCUAGACAUGAGUUGGCUCAUUAGUUCAAUUAUUUGAUUGGGUUGUGCUGUGUGUACACAAUGGUGUACACCCACAUGUAAUAAAAUAUUCAUGAGCCCCCUUUCAUGUGAGAGGGGUGUAAAGCCGUGUGUACACACAACAUUUUCCUAUUUGAUUAGAGUGAACUUUACACUACCGCUUCAUCCAGGUCACUAUUUGGUUUGGAUAUGACAAAAGUGGCUGAAAGAGUAUGUUUAAUACAUAAUUUUAAAUUUUAUAAUACACAAAAUUUUAACUUCUUUUAGUUCUUUGAUAUUGCAUAUCAUGUUUCGUCCACUUUAUAAAACAUGCCAAAAUUGUAUAUUUUAUGCAAUAUUAAACGAGGCUAUACAAUGUCAUUGUUAAGCUAUUGAUUUAUUUUUCUUCUUUAAUUUAAUGUUCAAUCAAAUUCUAAAUGAAAAAUAAGAAUCAUGAUUUUUAAGAAGGGAUUUAAAAAAUACACAAUUAUUUAUGCUUAACAAUACUAUUGAUAUUUGAAUAAUUCUUUUUUAAUAUUGUCGAAUGUAACAUGACUUAAAUACAUUAUAUCCCUACGUGGAGGGGAAAUAUUGUUUGGAAAUUUUCGGGACUUCUUAGAGAAGAUUUGGAUAUGUAGUUGGGAUAUCAUAUCGUACAUAUAUAAAAGAGCGAAUGAACGGGCUGGACAUGUGUCAAAAAUAUACAUUGUCACGUACGAAUUUUCCUUUUUUAUUUUCAAUUUUUUUAUGCAAAAAAUUAGUAAAAUCACGAUUUUUCAAUAUAGCCAUGCCUUCACCUUUUCUCAAUUCACGUCAAUCUGACAAAGAAACACCCUUUCUCCAUUUUUCUACACUACCGACCAUGCCUCUUCAACAAAUUCGUCAUUCCAAAUGAGAAGGCAAAAACCUUGGGCAUUGAAUUUUCCCCCUCUUAAAGAAAGCAACAACAAAAUUGUCAAAAUCUGGAAGGAGAAGAAUUUUUUUGGAGCCUCGUCCGUAAGUUGAGUGUCCAGUGCUGGAUUCCUCAAAAAAUGUACAGAAUAAUACAUAAAUGAUGUUUAUCAAUCACUUAGUGUGUGCUAUGUGUGGAAAAAUCAAAGCUUUUACCUCUUUAUUUUUCUGAUUUUCUUCAUCUGAUUUUUCAUUAUCUUCAAUCCCUUGUUAUUGUAUUCUGGCAAGGGCAGGAGUCAUCACCCACCCCAUCCAAGCAAGUCAAGGAUUCUCCUAAUUCUGUUACCCAAAAGCUCAUCUGUACUCACGACCAUACCUUCAAUUUCGACGAAAAUUGUAAUGCCCAUGACCAAACUCUAUCACAAACAUUUUUAUACAACCCAAGAGGAGAAGUUCCAUGGCCACAUAUCAUCAAGAACCUCUCUAAUCUUUAUGUUAGUAUGUAUUCUUCUGUUUCCAUGAAUUCUGCUUUUUGAUUUUUUAUUCUUUUGAAUUAAUCAUCCCUUUUCUUAAAUUUUCAUUUGAUUAUCGUGUUUCAUUUUAGGUCUACAUAAAUGGGCCACUGUAUUAAUUUUGUUCAAAGAUAGCUUCGAGAUGAUGGUGAAUUCUAGCUUCUGAGAUAAUUUUGUAAGAACUAUACUAUUGGAAGCAGAACAGACGAGGAACGAUGAGAAAUGUUUGUAAAUUUCACACUUGCGCUUUCAUAUUAAAGGGAUACAGAAGGUCAAUCCUAGAGAUUGAAUAGUGAUUAUUGGAUGGGAUCAGAAGAAAGGGGUAAACGUUGGAGUUUCUGCUGGUUUUUGAUGGACUCAAAGAGGGAGAUUCGUUUGGGAUGACGUUGUGCAGAUAAGAUUCAUCAGAUUCGUCUCUGGAGUAAAUAGUCCAAUACCCAGGUCUGUGUUUUUCUCCCACUUCAUUUUAAAAUCUAAAAUCUCUUUUUUCUUGCAUAUUUCAUUUGUUUUAGGAAAACGUGUGUCUUCUUAGAUCUAGAAAUGGUGGAAAUUUUGUAGAUUUUGUGCAUAUUUUGUGGAUGGAUAGUGCUAAGGAAGAAAAAGAAGAGUUUAUAAUCUUGUUUAUGUGCGAUGACCUUUUUGUAAGAUUUAGAGCAGCACAGAGAGGAGUGAGAGAGUGCACGAUGCGUAGAAUCACUGCACCUCUCAGUGCUAUAUGAAGAACGAUGUUACUCGAUUUUUUUCGUUUUUCUCCUUUCUUUAAUCUAAGACUCCAAUCUCCAGAUUUUUGAAGAAAUUUUGAGAUUGUCCUUUUUGGUGAAAUCUUAGUCAAAUUUGAUUGAAAACGUGCCAAUGAGCAAAAGUCAGCAGUGCUGCUGAUGUGGGGCUAAUUUUGGGUAAAUUCCUUCAUUUAUGUAUUGUUUCCUUUUUUAGUAAGUUUUAUUUUGGUUAUAUCUCGAUGAAUUUAAGUUGGAUUUGAACUCUUUUUUUUUGGAAGAUAAUCCUUAAGAUUAGGACUCCCAAUUUUAGUCAUUAUCUUGAUUUUUUUUUCAUUUUUGAAAAAAAAUAAAUUUCAUCUCAAAUAUUAAGGUAAUCAGUGAAUAUAACAUACACUUAUAUUUAACAUUCACCAACAAAAGCGCAACGCACUAUUUCCUCACUAGUGCUAAAUAAAAGUGAGUUGAAAAUGUGACCUCCACCUGUUUCGUGUCCACCUUGGGUUUGGAACUUCCCAUGAGAUUGCGACAUGUGUUUUAAAUAGCAAGCUAGAUAACAAUUUGGUAUAUAUAUAUUAAAAAAAAAAAUGCUAUUCUUAGGGUGUAUGCAACACACAAGUUUUUACAUGGGUUAGACUACAUAAAUAGCUAUUUUUUCCCUUUUCCCUUUCCUUUUUGUUUUUACCCUUUUAAUAAUUCGAAGUGUCAAAAUGUUGAAAUGCACAUUAUUCUUUUUAAUCAUUUCAUAAUAUACAUCACAUUUGACUUUUAAAAAGUGCAUUCUUUUUCGUGAAGAAAGCUUCAGUAGGGACUAAAAUCAGAUUUUUAGUAUAUUUUGAUAAAAGUUGAUGAAAUAUAUAGUUGAAAAAUUGUGGAUCCUAUAAAAUGUAUGAUUGAAAUUAAUAGUUGACUUUGACUUAAAUUAAAAUUAAUUUACUAUAUUUUUUUUUUUACCAAACAUGGGCGAAAUAUAAACAUCUGUGCAACACAUGGUGUCAUGGUGACUUUCGACUUAAUAUGGCGAUAAAAGAGAUGGCCUAAUGUAACGAUUUGAGGCUUAAUGACUAACUCAUUUUAUCGUACAUGUUGUCAACUUUGAGAGAGCCUUUACCCAUCUUACCGUUUACAUCUUUCUAUUGGGUCCUAAUAAUUGGUACUAGAAUUUAACUUAAACUUUUUUUUUUUCAUAAGGAAUAGAUCUUGGGAUUAAAUUUUGUGGGACACGAUAGAAAAUCGUAAGGAGUAAGAUGCAUAGAAACUAUUCCAAAGUGAACAGUAUGUAUGAUAUAAUUGUUUGAGCACAGAAGUUCGAGUCAUUACAAAAAGAGGGCAUUUUUUUGUGUAAUGUCCAACCUCUCCGCUCAAGUCGUUAUAUCACAUGUAUUAUUCACUUUGAGAGAGCAUUUACCAUAUGGUGAACGUGAACAUCCGUUCAGCCCAACUGACUUUCGACUUAAUAUGGUAAUAAAAGAGAUGGGCUUAAAGUUCGACAAGAGAAACAUCUACUAAGUUUGGAAAGAUGGUCUUCGGUACCAACCUACAUGAACACUUAGCCUUUGUUUAAGCCCUAUUUUUUGGAGCAAAUUAAUGUAGUUAUAUUUUAUUAAAAAAAUGCUUGGUUCAAAAUGAGUUUGGAUAAAAAUGAAUUUUAAAGAGUGGGGUUCAAACAUAAGCCCAAUAUAUAAAGUAGGUUAUAAAUAUUCAAUCCCAAAAUUAGUAACACUAAUGAUCAAAAGAGGAGGCAAUUGAAAGUGGUCGAGCUCAAAUUUACAAAACCAUGGCCGAGGUGGAGUAUAUGAGACGCCUCGAUGUUUACGUAGUAUUUAUUUUUACACUAUCUAGUGCUCUAUAGUUUGAUUUAUCGAUAGAGUCGUAAAUAAAGAAUAUACUGGCAUUAUACUUGAUAACUGCGUUUUGUGCACUUAUUCGAGCCAAAUUACUAAGCUUUUAUGUUGUUAAAGUGUUAAAUUUUAUUUAACGUGGUUAAAUUUAUCUUGUUUCAGUUUUGGACCUAUUCAUAUGCAAUUGGAAAAGAAAGAUGAAUGAAUUGAUGAUUGGAUGGAAGAUUUGGAGACUAAUAUGCAAUUGAAUAAAAGUUGAAGGACCAAAAUUGAAGUAAUUUGAAGUCAAGGAUCAAAAAUUGAGGAAAGAAUGAAGAAGAGGACCAAAAUACAAUUAUUGAAAGUUGUUAUAACUAGGCGACUACCCAGUUAUAAUAGCCGGGCAAUCACCCUGGUUGAAUGUACAAAAACAAAGGCAAAAUAACAUGCUUGAAUGACCAUCCCGAGUUUUACCUGGGCGAUUUCGGGGCCAGAAAUUUGUUUUCAUUUUGAUUUUUUUUCUACAAGAAAGCCUUCCUUUUGGACCUAUCUUUUGUUUGGAGAUUUUUGGACGCUUUUUAGAGGCAAAUAGAUAUUAACAAAAAAAUAGGGUUUGGAUAAUUGAUUGUAAAAAGAGGCAACGAAUACAAGAUCAAAUUGAAGAAAUCCAAACAUCAAAUUCAAGAAUUUCGGGUGAUGAACUAUUUUUAUUUCUUUUGUUUUCUUUCCAUUAACAUGUUAGGCUAAAGUAGUUUUGUGCUAGGUUAAGAUGAAUCUUAUAGUAUGAACCUUUAAUUCUUAGCUUUUCUCUUUGACAUUCAAACAUGUUUUCAAUUAUUAAAUGAUUUUCAUGAAAUUAUCUUCUUUAUAAUUAUGUGCACAAUGACUGUUUGAAUAUUGUGGCUUGCUUUACCUUUGAAAGAUGGAAAAUAAGUUAGGCAUAGUAUUAAUCGUUGUAGAGUCUGAUUCGGGUAGAAAUAUACAGUUAUACUUUACGUAAUCUUUAAGUAUUCGUAAAUCCUUAAUACAUUCUUGCAUGUUCGUAUCUAUAAAAAAAUAUUGUCGGAUCAUAUGUGAGAAUGUGUUUCAUUUUACUUUAGAGAGAUUGUUAAACAAUUAGGAAUAUUGAUCUUCAUAAUUGAAUAGUGUAGUCAAAUUGUAAAGUUAGGGUUAAAGGGAAUUGAUAUAAGCGGAUUCGGGAUCCUAAUGCACUUUUCAUCAAUAAAUUUUCACCAAAUUUGCAUAAAUCACAAUCUUGCAUUGAUUUUAGUAAUUUAGUUCUUGCAUUUAUAAUUAAAUGAUUGAAUCAUAAUUUAGUUAUAGAAAAAAAAUCACAAGUUUCAUAGUUUCGAUUAAAGCUAAGUUUCAUUGAACUUGAGCCAAUACAAUCUCUACGGGUACGAUACGUGGAUUCAAAAUCCAUUUUACUACUUGUUGAUGAACCAUGUACUUGAGGUAAUUCAAAUGAAUAAUAUUCUCAUAACAUAUUUUUGGUACCGUUGUCGAGGAUUAUUCUUAAGUUUAAUUUCAUUUACAGUGUCAAUUAUUCGAACAUUUUUUACUUUUAUUUAAUUUUUAUCUAUCAAAUUAUUUUAUUGCUACUAUUGUCUCUUUUUCAAGCCUUUUAUGCGAAGUUUGGAAGAUGUGAACUGAUAUUAGUUGAUCUAACAAUCGAAUGUACCUUUUACCUUUGGCAAAGGGAAGCAAGAGAAGCACAACAACAAAAGACCAAAAAUAGCAACAAGAGAUGGAUAACGAGAAGAAUGGUCCAGUAGUUCCAAUGAAUGAAAAGUAGUUGUCAAUGAUGGACGAUGCUAGUUGGGGAUUUCAUGACUCCAAAAAUCAUUUAAAGCCAAUGUAGCAUCGUUUAUCCUCUAUUUGGACAAUCGAAUUUUCAAUUAAAGAUCAAUGUCAUUCAUUUAUUUCAAAAUGGACAUCAAUAUUAUGGCUAACCCGAUAAGAAUCCAAUAUACACGUUUCUCGUUUUUGGAGAUGUGUCUUCACUUCAGAUAUCAAGGGAUGCCAAAUGAUGUUAUCAGAUUGAGACUAUUUCCACUUACUCUACGGGAUAGAGCACUUGAAUGUUUAGAUUGAUAGCCUAUUGCCAGUAUCACCACUUGGAAUGACUUGGCUAAAAAAUUUUGCACUAAAUUUUGUCCAUCGGCUAAGUUAGCAAGUUGAAGCAUGACAUAUCUAUAUUCUAUCAGGGAGAAAUUGAAUUCCUUGAUGAGGCUUGGAACAGAUUCAAGAACAUAAUUUGGAAGUGUCCUCAUCACGACAUCAAUAAAGGGCCCCAAGUCUAAUAUUUCUAUACAUGUCUACUUUCAUCUUACAAGAGCAAGGUGGACUUUUCAUCAUAUGGCUCCUUAUCCAUGAAGACAACGGAUGAAGCCUUGAAAUUGUUUGAAAGAGUGGCUACAACCACAGUAAUGUGGGCCUCUAAGUGUGUAGUUCAUAAGAAGGCACUAGGACUAGAUGGCAUUGUCUACAAAAAUUGAUUUUUUGGUUCAUAAGUUUGAGAGCAUAUGAUAAUCGUCCAAGAAUAGGCUAAGUAACCAAGUUGUGAAGAAUGCAGGGUAGAUAAUGUUAUAAUAGAAUGUCUAAUUCUUGUACAAGAGACUGAACAAGUGGACUAUGUAUAAGGAGAUCAAUGCCAACAAAAUAAUCCACAUUCUAAUACCCGCCACUUUGAUUGGCAAAGCAUCCAAAAUUUUCAUGGAGUAAUCAAAAUUCUAAUAGACCACAGGAUUAUCAAUUUCAAAAAAUAAAAAAGAGAACUUCCUUAGAAGUUAUGUUUGAUAAAAUCAUGGAAAAGACAGAUCAAUACAUAGAGGCGAAUAAUCAAUUCAUAAGAAAGAUUGAAACAACUAUUCAUAAUCAAAGUGCUGCGAUAAAAAAAAACUUGAAAACUCAAAUGGGAUAGAUGGCAUAUGCUACAUCAGGUAGGGUACAGAGUACAUUUCCAAGCGGUACAGAGGUUAACCCAACAAACAUGUUAAAGCAAUUACUACUAGGAGUGAUGUCCAGUUGCCUAAAAUUCAUGUUAAGAGACCAGUUGCAUGUGGAAUAGACUGAAUAAGCAACAUAUACAUUUGCUAGAGGGAGUUUAGAUAUACCACGGGUUAAGGCAGUCGCUCAUAUCAAAUCAUACAAGCCCCAAAUUCCAUUUUCUCAUAGAUUGCAAAAGCACAAGUUAGACAAGCAGUAUACAAAAUUCUUUGAGGUCUUUAAGAACCUUUAUAUUAGCAUCCCUUUGCUGAUGCAUUUGUUCAGAUGCCUAGCUAUACUAAAUUUUUGAAGGACAUUUUAUCUAACAAACGCAAGUUGGACGAACAUGAGAUACUGAUGUUAAAUUGAUGACACUCUUUGUUUUCAAGAAACUAGGCUUGGAGAGGCUAAAUCAACCACAACAACUUUACAGCUAGCUGAUCGAUCUAUCACGCACCAAGAUGAAUGACUGAAGAUAUCAUGUAAAAGUGGACAAAUUCGUCUUUUUAGUUGAUUUUCUUAUUCUUGACAUGGAGAAGGAUAAGGACGUUCUACUUAUUUUAGGUCGACCAUUUCUGGCUAUGGGUUGAGCUUUGAUUGAUGUGCAAAAAAGUCAACUGAUUCUAAGGCUUGGUGAAAAAUAGGGCACCUUUGAUGUAUUCAAGGCCAUAAAAUAUCCAACUAAAUUCGAUAGUUGUUUUCAGAUCAAUGUGAUUGACAAGACUGUAUAUCAUUUCAAUUGAAUAAUCCAUCUGAUCCAUGUGAGGCAUGCAUUGUGAAUUUUCAAUCUAUUCAUUCUAAAUCUAGUGAGAUUAAGAUAUUUGCAAGAUAUCUAGAAGCUAAUCUUCUAUAUAGGCACAGACCAUACUUUGAUGAUUUGGGAAUAGGUUCUACAAAGCCUUUGCCACUAAUUCAAUAGCCUUCUAAGUUAGAGUCCAAAUAGUUUCCAUCUCAUCUUCAUUAUGCAUAUUUUGGAGUUUCUUCCACAUUAUUUGUCAUUAUUUCAAAGUCCAUCAGUGAACUUGAAGAAAAGAGAGUGAUGCGGUACUCAGAGAAAAUAAGACAGCUAUUGGAUCGUCUAUUGCUAACAUUAGAGAGAUCGACCAUACACAUUGCAUGCAUAAAAUUCUCGUGGAGGAUAAUUUUCGACCAAGUACAAAUAACCAAAGGAGGCUUAAUUGAAAUAUGAAGCUUUUAGAUGCAGGAUUUAUGUAUCAUAUCUCAAACAGUGCCUAGGUUAAACCUGUUCAGAUUGUGAUAAGAAAUGGGGUAUCAUAGUUGUAUAGAAUGAUAAGAAUAAACUAAAUCUCACAAGAACUAUUUCGUGAUAGAGAGUUUGAAUUGAUUAUAUCAAACUCAACACUGUUAAUUGAAAGGAUCACUUUUUUCUUUCACAUAUUGAUCAGAUGUUGAGAUAUUUGCAGAGAACUUCCAUUAUUGCUUUCUUGAUGGAUAUUCGGGGUUAUAAUCAGAUUUUAAUAGCACCUAAGGAUCUAGAGAAGACUAAUUUUACUUGUCCUUAUGGCACCUUUGCUUAUCAUAGGAUAUAGUUGGUCUAUGUAACUAUUACAUUUCAAUGUUGCAUGAUGGCUAUCUCCUUAAAUAUGGUGGAAAAUUCAUAGAAGUCUUUAUGGACGACUUCUCAAUUUUCGGCUUUUCGUUUGAUGAGUGCCUAGAAUACUUAAAAUUGGUCUUGCAACGAUGUAAAGAAACAAAUCUAGUAUUAAACAAGAAAAAUGUUGCUUCAUGGUACAAAAGGACAUCGUGUUUGGUCAUCAAAUUUAGUUAAAGGUAUAGAAGUGGAUAAGGCAAAGAUGUAGGUCAUUGAGAAAUUACCACCACCAACUUCAGUUAAGGGUGUUCGUUAUUUCCUUUGUCAUGCCGAGUGUUAUCGUCGCUUCAUCAAGGACUUCUCUAAGAUCACUAAACUGUUGUGUAAUCUACUAGUCAAAGAUGUUCUUUUUUACUUCUCUAAAGAGUGUCUAUUGGCUUUCAACACUUUAAAAGAGAAGUUAAUUUCAUCACCCAUAAUAAUUGUACUCAAUUGGAUUUACUCUUUGAAUUGAUGUGUGAUGCAAGUGACUAUAUAGUGGGAAAAGUAUUGUGACCUCAUAGAGAUAAAAUUUUUUCAUAUGAUCUACUAUAAAAGCAAGACAUUGAAUGAUGCACUGCUGAACUACGCCACCACUGAGAAGGAACUUCUAGCUGUGGUCUAUGUCUUUGAUAAAUUUUGAUCCUAUCUAGUUUGUCAAAGCUUAUUAGUCUACACAAAACAUGCAGCUUUAAAUUAUAUGAUGGCAAAGAAAGAUGCAAAAUCAAUACUGAACAGAUAAGUACUAUCCCUGCAAGAAUUUAAUUUGGAGAUAAGAGCCAAAAAUGAAAGUAAAAACGUGGUAGCAUAUCAAUUAUCUCGACUUGAUCUUGGAGAGCCAAAACAAUCAUUUGAUAAAACUGAAAUUUUUCUAAAUGUGAUAUAAAGGUUGCACCAUGAUAUGUUGAUAUCGUGAACUAUUUAGCUAAUUCCAUCAUUCCACCAUAUUAUUCAAGUCAUCAAAAGAAGAAAUUCUUUUCUGACUUGAAGUACUAUUCUUGAGAGGAUCUUAUUCUAUAUAGAUAGGUUUAGAUCAAAUUAUUUGACGAUGUAUUUUUAAGGAAUAGGUCCCUCAUACACUCAAGCAAUGUCAUUAUUAAUGGACAUUUGGUGCUUCAAAGAAGCUGAAAAAUAUCUUAUUGUGUAAGUUCUACUAGCUUUCAAUAUUCAGAGAUGCCUAUAUUUUUGUAAAGAGGAAUGAUAGAUGUCAACGCACGGGAAAUAUCACUAGAAAGAAUAAAAUUCCUUCCUGGAGAUAGAGUUAUUUGAUGUGUGGGGAUUUGACUUUAUGAGAUCAUUCCCCCUCCUCAUUCUCAAAUCAAUAUAUUCUUGUUGUAGUUGGCUAUGUCUCUAAAUGGGUGGAAGCAAUUGCAUUACCUACAAACGAUGCUCAAAUGGUGGUAAGUUUCUUGAAAAAGUAUAUUCCACUCGUUAUGGCAAACACUGCACAAUUAUUAGUGGAUAAGCAUUUCUAUAACCAUCAAUUUGAGUCCUUGUUGGAUGAAUAUGACAUCCCACAAAGUAUAGCUAUUCCCUAUCAUCCUCAAACCAGUGGGCAAGUCGAAAUCUCCAAUAGGGAGUUGAAGCAUGUUUUUGAGGUGAUAGUGAAUUCUUCAAGAAAAAAUUGGUCUAAGAAACUUGUUGACACCUUUUGGGCCUACAGAACAAAUUUCAAGACCACUAUAAGCACGUCUUCCUACUGAUUUUUUUAGGAGAGCGUAUCAUUUGCCAAUUGAUUUAGAGCAUCGAGCUUACUUGGCAGUCAAAAAUUUGAAUUUUGAUUUGAAGAUAGCCAGUGAAAAGAAACUACUUCAACUAAAUGAGAUGGAUGAAUUUUGUCUAGAGGCAUAUGAGAAUGCCAAGUUGUAUAAGGAAUAAACCAAAAAGUGACAUGAUUUGCAUAUUCAAAAAAGGAAGUUUGAAGUUGGGCAAUAUUUUUCCCAGUGAAUUGAGGUCAAGGUAGUCAUGGCCAUACAAUGUUACUCAAGUUUUUCCAUAUGGAACUGUUGAGAUCACUCAUGAAAGCAAAGACACAUUUAAAGUUAAUGGAUAAAGGUUGAAACCAUAUUGGAGCGGCGGAUUCUCGAAAGAAAAGUCCACCAAUCACUUUCCAACAUUGGAGUAAAUCUCAAAAAGUCGAGCUUUAGACUAUAAGUUAAACACUUAAUGGGAGGCAACCCAUUUUCGUAUCCCUUAUCUCUUAUUCUUAUUGCUCAUUGUAUUACAUAUAGUUAUAGGAUUUGCAUUAGUACUUUCAGACCUCAUUUAGGGAUUCAUGCAUUUACAUGAUUUUUAACUCGUUUUAGGUAGUUUCAAAUUCAACGUAUACACAUAAGCACUAAUUUAGGCUUAAAAAUGUGAUAAAUAAUAAAAUUACUUUGGCACACACUACAAGUCAUUCGAAUUCAUAUAAUAAAUGGUGGUUGGUAAGCUAGGUGGGUGCCCAGUUUUAACAAUUUGGAACUCGGCUAGCCAGGUAAAGGGCCAAUAGGCCCUUGGCAAUUAAACUGGGCAGUUGUCGAGUAUUACACUUGAUGAUCGCCUAGUAUAAAAGAAAGGGUUAUAUUACACGUACAUCAUGAUAUGCAUAACGGUAUUUACCCGUCACAUGGAGAGUGGCCCACUUUCAAUAAAAUAUAAUUUAUUCGAAUUGAGUCCCCUUCUAUAUAAGGACGGUGGACACCGUCAUCAACACCGCAUUAGAUCCAAGUAACAUAUUCCUAAAAGAAAAAAAAUGUGAGACCUAGGUUUUCAAAAGCAAAACACACGUUACUUUGUCUCAACACAACAGGUUAUACGCAUGACACUUUCAUCCUCUUUCGAUCAGGGCACUCUUUCCCUCCAUUUCACACAACUCCUCAUCACCAAUCAUCAAGAGAACAACGCUCACUCUCACCACUAGACAGUGAAAUCACAAGCUCAACCAUCAACAACACAUGGCACUAACGACAAUCACUUCCAACAACUUACCAAAAGAGGACUCGUUCAUCUUCGCUUUUACCUAGGAAUUGCAUUCCAUUUUUCACCCAUUGAAUUUCAUUAAUCCACAUCAAUCUACAAAGGAUUCCAAGGUAAUUCAAUUACUUUUUCUUCAACUAUUGUGCUAUUGUUAUAAUUCAAAAUUUUGGGUACAUUAUUGAGGAGUAUGGGUUUAGUUAAUUUGUGGUGUACUGGAUUGUGCUUGUGAUGUGAAAAUUGUUGCUUUGAUUUACCCUUAUUUUUACAAUUUUUAGGGAAGAACAUUAUGCUUUCAACUUGUUUGAUAAAAUGAACAAGUGAAAAUUCGUAUAUAUUUAGGGCUAAACUCGCAAUUGGAUUGAUUGAUUGAUAGAUAUUUGGGAUUGCCUUUAGUGUGGAAAUUCAUUGAAAUUGCUAGAAGAAAACACCUGAACAUCCUUGCACACAAUAGCUUGACAUGGCUAGGAAUUGACCACCUCACGUCAUGAACUUCGUCCCCAGUCGUCUAAUCCAAAUAACCUCUGUUUACCUUAACUCUGAACAUGAGUAAGACUAACAUAUAAUAUUUUAUAUGUCCAGAGCUCGCUUAAGAAAAGCUCACUAUCUCUUCAUGUUUUUCGAUGAUGAAAGUCAUUGAUCGGUUUAGGGUAAAACACGAAAUUAUCUAUUUUAUGUUGGUUUAGGGAAUGUGAGCUAUAUUUUCUUUAUCUAUUAACUACAUGCCCUACAUCAUGACAAUUCCUCGAGCAUAGCAUGAGCUUUUACAUUCAGGUGCAUGAAAAUUGACAUAUAAUAGUAUAGUUUGGGGGUAUUUUUACUCUAUCCUACUUUUUUGACUAUUACCUAUUAUAUUGACAAAUUUUAUUUUCUAUAUCUUUGUAGGAACAAAAUGCCCCAAAAAUGAAAAGCCAUAGCUCAAGGGAAAGGAUAGUCUAAAGUUGGCAAGACAUCAACCCGUUGUCAGAUGGCAAACAAAAUCUUGACGAAUGAGGAUAUACAGCGAUUUUUAAAUGUUGAAAACCGUGAGAAUUUUGAGGCGAAGUGGAAGGACAAAAAUCUAUAUCAAGACAGGCGGGUUAUAGUUGGUGACUUUCAGGGAACUCUACUGAAAAGAAUUAUACAACCAUGUCGUUGGGAAAAACUGGUUGGAACUCCUCAUACGACAUAUCCCUUUUUGGUUAAGGAGUUCUUCGCCCUUCAACACAGAGAUUGAUACCCCAGAGUCUCCCCUCAGAAAUCAGACAUGGAUUAGAGGAAAGUGGAUUCGGCUCAGCCCAGCAGUGAGUGAUAGAUAUUAUGAGUUGAACCACGCUCACGUACAGCCCCUAUCGGUUGAGCUAGUUCAUACAUUUCAUUUCAUGCAUUACAAGUUGACCCUGGAAUUAAGAAUAUUGCAUGUCAUUUUCUGCGUCAACAUCUAUCCUACAUCCCAGCAGACAAAGUUCAAUGAAGAAAGGGCUCGACUACUUUAUCAUCUGGCAAGAGUGCAGAAGUUUGACUUGGGAUCCCACAUAUAUGCAUUUAUAUAGACGUUGGCAUGUCUAUCGAUUCUGGUGCAGUAUAAUGUUUUCGUGCUUGAUUAGUAGGAUCAACUUCACAGCCAGGUACCACUUUUUCCAAGAGAAUAAAGUACUGUUCCAUAGGACCCAAUCAAUAGGAAAAUAAAUGAAAAUUCAAAAGCUAGGCUGAGAGGAGCGAACGAGCACAUAAUCUCAAGCAGGUAUCUCGACCACCACAGCAAGCUCCAUAUGCUAACACAAUCCUCCUAAGUAGGCAGUUGUUUUAGAUGCAAGUAACCCAGGUGGAUCUGGGUGGAUCAAUUGGCCGUAUAACAAAUGUGUUAGAAGCGAUGUAGCUAACAUAGCUAGACAUGCAAAAAGAGCCGCUAAGAGUGAGUGGCCUGGCACGUGGGUUCCACAAAAGUGAUAAUAGAACACGACAUGAUUAGAGAACCAUCACGUAUGCUUACAAUUAGGUGCACGAGCAGAUGCUAUGCUUCGGGAGUUGACAUGAGACGAUUGACAGUAAUGUCGCCCAGAUAGCAAGAACCAUUGAAUCUUUGAGGCCCACAACUUUUGCGAUCUUGCUGGACGAUCUUUCUACUCAUCCACAUCAUCCCUGGGGAGAUCCUUGUUCUUUACUCAUUUAUUUUGAUUUUGAUUUUGUUUUUGUUUUUACAUUGAAGACAAUGUAAUAGUUUUGUUUAGUGGUGGGUAAGUAUUAAGGUAUUUAGUGUAACACCCCGAACUUUUUUUAAUUAUUGUUCAUAUGGGCCUGAACUUCAUGUGGGCCACUUAGCAAAUGAAAUAAUUUAUGUUUAAAUUUGUCGUCACACUAAAAGUCCACAGGUUGAUGAUUUAUUUUGCUCACGUGUACUUAGAAUUUAUCCUAAAUCUUAUUUGGGUCGAAUAUUUACAUAUUUUAGAAGUUGAUAAAAUAUAUCAAUAUUACACUUGUUUUUAUUGCACGUAUUAAUUAAUAUAAUUUGGGCUCAAGAAAAAUUAAUUUUGAGUUAGUUUUGUUUGAGUUAUUCUAAUAAAAAGAAAUGUGUUAACCUUUAAUAUUUUAUUAAUAUAAAUAAUAAUAAAAAAAGAAAAAAGAGACGAACUUUCACAUAGGAAUUUGAAAAGAUAUUUAACAUAAUUACCAAAAUAAUUAACCUAAUUAAGUCAUAAGUAACAUCAUUAAUUUUGAAUUAUGUCACCAACCUUUUGAAUUCCUUGAAGGUUACGUGCCAGUGAUUAUAUAUAGGAUGUGAGGUGAGAGUGUUUUGUGUUAUAAAUUUUAUAAGUUCAUUUUUAUUUUAAACACACACUUUUCACUUCCACAUUAUCAUUUCAAAUUACUUUUUUUGGAUGUCAGUUGAGGUAAGAAUACAUCGUGCAAAGUGGUAAAUUCUUAUUUCUUGAUGUUUGUAUAAUUUUUGGCAUAAAAUGCUAUGUGGCAUUCGGGUCGAGCUCUAUGUUAAAUUCUACGGGAUGGACCGUUAGGUUAAAGAUGUUAAAUUCUAUGGGAUGGACAGUUUGGUCAAAGAUGUUAAAUCCCACGGGAUAUGGGAAUUCUUAAGAAAUUCAUUGAGUUCUAAAUCUAAGAAAUGUUGGUAUGUUAUGUCAAUUUUAUAUUUAUAUCAUGUAAAUAAGAAUGUGUACGUAUUUUUAUUGAAUGUUUUCAAAAUACUCACUCUUACUACAAAUUUUCAGAUUAGAACGGAUCGUGUGGAUGCGUGGAAAAUUGACCGAGUGAUACCAAUAAGGUCGCCAAGUAAAUUUUCUAAAAAGAUAAUUGUCAAACUUUUAUUUGAAGAGCAUCUUCAUAUUAAAUUUUGUGCAUAUAUUUUAAUGGCUAUUUUUACGCAUUUUCAACACUUAAUGAAAGUGAUAUUUCCGCUUAAAUUAGAUAAAGAAAAUUUAGUAACACCUUAAGCCUAUUUCUAUAAAAGAAUAAAAUAAUGAAGAUGAAAAAGUUCUCGGGCAUUACAUUUAUGAUCUUUGUUUCUUGUUUUUUUAAUUGCUUAACGGGUUUGUAUAACUAUUUUAAUUUUUAAAUUUUUUGAAAAAAAAAACUCAAAAUAGUGUCUAGUUUAGCGUUGAAUGAGUUGUCCCCAAUGAUGAUAUCUAUUUAUUUAAAUUGUUGACAGCUAUAGCUAGAACUGAAUAAUAUCAUUUUUUAUUCUUUUACUUGAAUAUUUAUUCAUGUUAGACUUAAUUAUUUGAGCAUAUAGUCAUUAUUGAUUGAUUACUUAUGGUAGUGCAUGACUUGAUUAUGUGGAUUUAAUUGUUGAUGUGUUGAACUAGGUUUGAAUAGAAUCUCCAAAUCCUUAAUAUAGAAACCAAAUUGCUAGAAAGCACUUCGGGGACGAGAAUGUUAAUGGUCUUCAUAGAAGUUUGAUGGUUUGGAGUUCUUGGAUUGGAUCUUCAGUUGAAAUAGUUUGAGUUAAGGAAUGUAGAAUGGGCACUCACCAUUUCAAAAUUUGAAUCCAUAUCAGAAGAAAAUGUGAUAUAUCUUAUACUUCUCUGUGUUGACUUUUCACGACUCGAGUGAUUAAGGCUGCAAGGGUAUCUAGAAACUUGGUGUCGUAUAGUUAUCUGACUUGAGAGUUAUCAACUUAAAGCUCACUACAUGGGCCAUUAGAAAACUUAAAGAAUGAGAGGUUUUGGACGUAUGAUAUAAAAAGGAAGAAAAGAAAGUAUGAUAAAUCCUAUACUUCUCUCGUAGCCUUUAUAACUUGAAUAAUUAAGCCUAGAAUGGUAUCUAAAAAUCUGGUGCCUUAUAGUCAUCCGACUUGGGAGUCAUCAACUUAAAGCUCACUAAAAAGAUUAUUUAGAAAACUUAGUAGAGGCAAGUCUUGCACAAGAGAUGUCAAAAAGAAAAAAAAGGAAAAAA